AUGGUUUUGGUAUCCGCCCCCGUCGGCCCUCGUCCUGUCUAUGAUUCGGAUGUGGUAUAUAUUAUCUUUUUAUAACUAUUUGAUUCAUUUAUUGUUUAUGACAAAUAUACCGACCAGCGUGACAUAGAUUUUAUUUAUCUAGGAGGUGGUUGAACCGGAAAUUCUAACCGACCCUAUUGUCGAGAGGUUAAAUUUAGUUGAAGAAGAAAACAAUUACUUGAAGGAAAAAAUAAAAAAAUUUGAGGAGGAGAAGAUGAUAUUGGAGUUGCAUGUUGCGGAUGUCGUCGAUGAUCACAAGAUCAAGAUGGAUGCAAUGCGCUUGAAGAUUAGAAAGAUUAGAAAAUAUGCCAUUCAUACCGAGGCUUGGUAUCAUUAUGUCGUUGGAUCAAUUGUUACCUUGGUUGCGAUUAUGAUCGCAUUUGUUUUCGCAUUGAAAUGUUUUACAUAGUUUCAAUGUAUGGUUUAAUUAAUUAGAUGCUCUGGAGAGCUAUAUAUAUGUUGUUAGAUGAGAACUAUGUAUGUACUUUGGUUCUAAUGUGAUGAUGAACUUCUAUUAAUUUGGUCACUUAAUUAUCUAUUCAUGAUGUUCUAUAAUGGUUUUUGACACACUUAAUUAUAUAUAAUGCACGCAGAUGAACCGGCAAUGGAUGUACGGUGACAGACACACCUCCAAGUACAUUAAGGGCGUGCAUGAUUUUCUCGAAGUGGCUGAGGCAAACAAGCAGAAUGGUUUUAUGUGUUGUCCAUGCCCUGUAUGUGGGAAUACGAAGUCUUACUCUGACCGGAAAAUCCUUCACGCCCACCUGCUUUACAAGGGUUUCAUGCCACACUAUAAUGUUUGGACGGGGCACGGAGAAAUGGGGGUUAUGAUGGAAGAUGGCAAAGAAGAAGAGGACGAUGACAACUAUGUGCCCCCUGAAUACAGUGAUGCUGCAACGGGGGAAGCUGCUGAAGAUCAAGAGGAACCAGACGAUGUGCCCAAUGAUGCUGCAAGGGGGGAAGCUGCUGAAGAUCAAGAGGAACCAGUGCCCGAUGAUGAUGAUCUCCGCCGGGUCAUAGUCGAUGCAAGGACGCAAUGCAAAAGUCAAAAGGAGAAGCUGAAGUUCGAUCGCAUGUUAGAGGAUCACAAAAAAGGGUUGUACCCCAAUUGCGAAGAUGGCAACACAAAGCUCGGUACCGUACUGGAAUUGCUGCAGUGGAAGGCAGAGAAUGCUGUGGCUGACAAAGGAUUUGAGAAGCUACUGAAAAUAUUGAAGAAGAAGCUUCCGAAGGAUAACGAAUUGCCCGACAGUACGUACGCAGCAAAGAAGGUCGUAUGCCCUCUAGGAUUGGAGGUGGAGAAGAUACAUGCAUGCCCUAAUGACUGCAUCCUCUACCGCAGUGCGUACAAGGAUUUGAACGCAUGCCCGGUAUGCGGUGCAUUGCGGUAUAAGAUCAGACGAGAUGACCCUGGUGAUGUUGAGGGCGAGCCCCGCAGGAAGAGGGUUCCUGCGAAGGUGAUGUGGUAUGCUCCUAUAAUACCACGGUUGAAACGACUGUUUAGAAACAAAGAGCAUGCCAAGUUGAUGCGAUGGCACAGUGAGGACAGUAAGAAAGACGGGAAGUUGAGAGCACCCGCUGACGGGUCACAGUGGAGAAAAUCGAGAGAAAGUUCUUGGCUGAGUUUGCAAGUGACCCAAGGAACGUAUGGUUUGCUUUAAGCGCGGAUGGCAUUAAUCCUUUCGGGGAGCAGAGCAGCAAUCACAGCACCUGGCCCGUGACUCUAUGUAUGUAUGACCUUCCUCCUUGGAUGUGCAUGAAGCGGAAGUUCAUUAUGAUGCCAAUUCUCAUCCAAGGCCCUAAGCAACCCGGCAACGACAUUGAUGUGUACCUAAGGCCAUUAGUUGAAGAACUCUUACAGCUGUGGAAUGGAACAUGUGUACGUGCGUGGGAUGAGCAAAAACAGGAGGAAUUUAACCUGCACGCGUUGCUGUUUGUAACCAUCAACGAUUGGCCCGCUCUCAGUAACCUUUCAGGACAGACAAACAAGGGAUACCACGCAUGCACACACUGUUUAGAUGACACUGAAAGUAUAUACCUGGACAAAAGCAGGAAGAAUGUGUACCUGGGCCAUCGUCGAUUUCUUUCGACCAACCAUCAAUGUCAAAAGAAAGGCAAGCAUUUCAAAGGCGAGGCAGAUCACCGGAAGAAGCCCGCCAUGCAUACCGGUGAUCACGUACUUGCUAUGGUCAAUGAUUUACACGUAAUCUUUGGAAAGGGUCCCGGCGGACUAGCUGUUCCGAAUGACGCUGAGGAACACGCACCCAUGUGGAAGAAGAAAUCUAUAUUUUGGGACCUACCCUACUGGAAAGAGCUAGAGGUCCGCUCUUCAAUCGACGUGAUGCACGUGACGAAGAACCCACUACUAGGAAAAGGGCUAUAGAUGGAAUGGCCACGAAUGGCGCACCAGAUAUGUGGUGUGCCAUUGCUAUGUAGCAGUGGCGCACCAUGUGCUGGUGCGCCAUUAGUGUGAAAUACACUAAUGGCGCACCAGACACACGGUGCGCCAUUAGUAACAAAUUUUUUAUUUUUUUAUUUUGCCAGACAUACUAAUGGCGCACCAGGACAUAGUGCGCCAUUACUAGUUGUAACUAGUAAUGGCGCACCAGGAACAUAGUGCGCCACUACAAUUUUUUUUUCUUUUUUACUUUUUUGCAAAACUACUAAUGGCGCACCUGGGGCAGUUGGUUGAUACGUGGGACGCCGCAGAGAAAGAAUAUUUCCCUAUGAGAGCCGCACUGCUCACGACGGUGCACGACUAUCUCGGUUUCGGAUAUCUCGCGGGGCAGGUGGCUUCGGAGAGAAAGAAUAUUUCCCUCCCCCGCUCCACCGGCCGCCGCCGCCGACCCCCGGCCCGCACCCUCCCCUACUCCACCGUCACCGACGACCCACCGCACCCUCCCCCGCUCCACCGGCCGUCGCCGACGACCCCCCGCACCCUCUCCCCCGCACCCUCCCCGGCCCGCUCCACCGUCACAAAUGAAUGCAACUAAAUUUGCAAAAAAAAGCAAAUUUGAUUAUAUUUUCAAAUAACAAAUUUGAUGAUAUUUUUAAAAAAUCAUUACUGUUUUUAUAAAAAAAUAUUACUGUUAUGAUUUAAACAAGUUUGAACAUAUUUAAACACAAAUAAAUAUCAAACAGCAUUUUAAAUGCAUAAAAACAAAAAUUGGGGAGCCUGGGAAUCGAACCCAGGACCUCCUAGUGUGUGUGCUGCGUGCUGACCAGUCGGGCUAGUGGGCGUGUUCUGAUAGAGAUAGGGUUAGGUGGAAUAUAACCUGACCAGUCGGGCUAGUAAGUAAAACAAAAUUCUAAUGGCGCACCAGGGGGAGGUGCGCCAUUAGAAUCGACGUACUUAUGGCGCACCAGGGGGAGGUGCGCCAUUAGAAUCGCUUGUUCCCCUCGCACUGUCGCCUCCCUCCCUCCCUCGCUCGCCAGAUCCCCCACUCCUCGACCCCAACCGUACGCCGCCGCCCCCUUGCUCCGCCCCCUCCGUCCGCCGCGCCUGCACGUCGUCCGCCGUUGUGGUCUUGCGCUGCCUCGACGCCGCCGCCCCGACCGCCGCCGGACUCCACCCCCCCGCCCCCCACCACUGCAGCUCCCUCGCGCNNNNNNNNNNNNNNNNNNNNNNNNNNNNNNNNNNNNNNNNNNNNNNNNNNNNNNNNNNNNNNNNNNNNNNNNNNNNNNNNNNNNNNNNNNNNNNNNNNNNNNNNNNNNNNNNNNNNNNNNNNNNNNNNNNNNNNNNNNNNNNNNNNNNNNNNNNNNNNNNNNNNNNNNNNNNNNNNNNNNNNNNNNNNNNNNNNNNNNNNNNNNNNNNNNNNNNNNNNNNNNNNNNNNNNNNNNNNNNNNNNNNNNNNNNNNNNNNNNNNNNNNNNNNNNNNNNNNNNNNNNNNNNNNNNNNNNNNNNNNNNNNNNNNNNNNNNNNNNNNNNNNNNNNNNNNNNNNNNNNNNNNNNNNNNNNNNNNNNNNNNNNNNNNNNNNNNNNNNNNNNNNNNNNNNNNNNNNNNNNNNNNNNNNNNNNNNNNNNNNNNNNNNNNNNNNNNNNNNNNNNNNNNNNNNNNNNNNNNNNNNNNNNNNNNNNNNNNNNNNNNNNNNNNNNNNNNNNNNNNNNNNNNNNNNNNNNNNNNNNNNNNNNNNNNNNNNNNNNNNNNNNNNNNNNNNNNNNNNNNNNNNNNNNNNNNNNNNNNNNNNNNNNNNNNNNNNNNNNNNNNNNNNNNNNNNNNNNNNNNNNNNNNNNNNNNNNNNNNNNNNNNNNNNNNNNNNNNNNNNNNNNNNNNNNNNNNNNNNNNNNNNNNNNNNNNNNNNNNNNNNNNNNNNNNNNNNNNNNNNNNNNNNNNNNNNNNNNNNNNNNNNNNNNNNNNNNNNNNNNNNNNNNNNNNNNNNNNNNNNNNNNNNNNNNNNNNNNNNNNNNNNNNNNNNNNNNNNNNNNNNNNNNNNNNNNNNNNNNNNNNNNNNNNNNNNNNNNNNNNNNNNNNNNNNNNNNNNNNNNNNNNNNNNNNNNNNNNNNNNNNNNNNNNNNNNNNNNNNNNNNNNNNNNNNNNNNNNNNNNNNNNNNNNNNNNNNNNNNNNNNNACUGUACUUUUGUGAUCUCCUACUCCUGAAUCUUACUACUACAAGCACAAGCAGUACAAAUAAGGCUAGAAUUUACUCUGAAUUUUGACAGUAAGAAGAAGAAUGAAAAUUUUGACAGUAAGAAGAAGAAGAAUGAAAACCUGUGGACUAUCUCUGAAUUUACAGCAGUACAAACAUUGUGAUGACCAACUCAUUGAUUUGUCAUACCCAUACUAAACAAAGGUUAGGUUCAGAGAUAGUGCUGCAUUGUUGAGUUUUACUCCUUUUGAUGUAGUAAAUUUAUUGACUGGUGUUUAUCUUACCCUGUUCCAUUGAGUAGUAAAUCAUUAUUGGCUUGUAUAGAUGUCAGCAUGCUCCCUUUCUACUCAUUUUGGAGAACCUGUAGAUGCCAACUCUUGAUAUGCAUGCAUGCAUUCUUUGCUUGUUUAUAUUCAUUCUUGUAAACUGAACAUGCUCAUCUAUCUAUAUAUGCAUUGUAUUUUUUCCUUUGGAAAGUAAAGUUUAUUUCCUGGCUGGCUGGCAUGAUGGCUCAUGGAUACCUCAGCUGCAGCUGCAGCUGCAGCUCAAUGGAUGCAACCUUUGUAUCUUCCUGUAGUAUGGAGUAUUAAAUUGCCCCCUAGGGUAUAAGGUCUCAUUUGGAUGUUCUCCCAGAACAAAAUCAUGACUUGUGACAAUCUAAGGAAAAGGGGGAUGGCAAAACCCCUAGAGUGUGUUCAUUGCAAAGAGAUACAAACUGUAUAUCAUUUAUUUUUUGAAUGUAUUGUAGCUAGUAAAAUCUGUGAAGAUGUUGAAAUGCUUUUCUAGGUGCCAAUCGUUAACUUUGAAUCUAUUGCUAAGUUGUGGCUUUGCAAUAAAAGAUACAUUCACUUGAAUCUAUUGCUAACUUGAAUUGGUCUCUUCUGCUGCUUAUCAGAGAUGGGGGGAAGCAGCCACCGCCGCUCUGCCUCACCGGAGUACGAGUUGGAUGCUUUCGAGUUCUUCAGUGUCAUACUUGGGACUUCAGUAUCAGCCACGAGGCAGGUAUAUAAAACGAGAGAUCUCCCCUUCACCCAUCUCAUUAUGAUAACUCUGUUGUUUGCUACAUCACUCCUUGUCCCAAAUUGCAGAGGCUGCCUGACACUUUUAUGAACAUGCUGGGUGAAGAUCCGCCACAUAAUGUGAAGCUCCGACAGGCCGGCGGCGGGGUUCGCAGGCUGUGGGACGUGGAGUUGGUGAUCGAGGAGGGCCACAUGUACCUGUGCCGUGGCUGGGACAAGUUCUACAGUGCCUACGACCUGCGGACCGGGUACUUUCUUCUCUUCAGGUACGACGAUGACGCCACAAUGCUCAUCGUGAAGGUUUUCAACACGACUAUGUGUCGCAUGCGCUACGCUGACGACGAAGAUGCCAGUGCGUUCUGCCUCUUCUUAUUCCUCUACAUUUGGCUUUGUCUCACAUCGAUUGUUAACGGCCAUUGUUGCAUUUGGACAGGCAAUGGGAGCAGCAGCAGCAACACUGGCUACAGCCAAAGCAGCAGCGAUUCUGGCUUUAGCGAAAGCAGCAGUGAUUCUGGCAGCAGCAAAGACAGCAAGAAGGAUGAUCCGGACUGGAGUGGGGGAGAAGAGGAGCAGAGUGGGGAUGAGGAGCUGCAGGAUGACGAUGGGCAUCAGGCUGAGGAUGACCUAGCGCUGGUGGUGGCUGACCAAGGGCAAGAGAUGGUGGUGGCUGACCAUGGGCAAGAGAUGGUGGUGGCUGACCAUGGGCAAGAGAUGGUGGUGGCUGAGGAUGACCUAGCGAUGGUCGUGCCCGUCCUUCUUGAAGGUGGCCUCGCGAUGGUGGUGGUGCCUGACAAUGACCACGCACCGGUGGUGGCGCCGGCGAUCCCACAGCUGCCUCCACCGCCUCGCCGCUCUUGGCGCAUCAGGCUGAGGAAGGAGAAGGAGAAGAACAAUGAGAACUGAACUAUGUGAAACUUUUGUAAUAUGGUGUUGGAUGGAUAACGGUGUUGGAUGAACAAUGUGAAACUUUUGUAAUAUGUAAUGAUGGAACUAUGUGUUGGCUAUGUAUGUAUAUAUGAUGAAACUUGUGUGUUGGAUAUGAUUGUUAUAUGGAUGCUUGUUGUAUAUAUAUGUGUUGGAUAUCUCAUAUGUGAAAUAGUGACCUGAGAUUAAGAAAAAACGAUUUUUUUUUAAAAAAGUUACUAAUGGCGCACUUCCAUCUGGUGCGCCAUUAGUAUACCAGUUACUAAUGGCGCACCUUUGGGAUACUAAUGGCGCACCCGUGGUGCGCCAUUAGUAUACCAGAUACUAAUGGCGCACCUGUGGUGCGCCAUUACUAAAAUAUUCUAGUGGCGUGGUGCUAGUGGCGCACCAGUAGUGCGCCAUUAGUAGGCAAAACUGGUGCGCCACUAGUAAGCCUUUUUCUAGUAGUGACCUUUGCGUGAACCUGCUAGGCUUCUUGGGCGUGUAUGGGAAGACAAAAGAUACACCUGAGGCACGGGAGGACCUGCAACGUUUGCACGAAAAAGACGGCAUGCCUCCGAAGCAGUAUGAAGGUCCUGCCAGCUACGCUCUUACGAAAGAAGAGAAAGAACUCUUCUUUGAAUGCCUGCACAGUAUGAAGGUCCCGACUGGCUUCUCGUUGAAUAUAAAGGGAAUAAUAAAUAUGCCAGAGAAAAAGUUCCAGAACCUAAAGUCUCAUGACUGCCACGUGAUUAUGACGCAACUGCUUCCGGUUGCAUUGAGGGGGCUUCUACCGGAAAACGUCCGAUUAGCCAUUGUGAAGCUAUGUGCAUUCCUCAAUGCAAUCUCUCAGAAGGUGAUCGAUCCAGAAAUCAUACCAAGGCUAAGGAGUGAUGUGGCGCAAUGUCUUGUCAGUUUCGAGCUGGUGUUCCCACCAUCCUUCUUCAAUAUCAUGACGCACGUCCUAGUUCAUCUAGUCAACGAGAUUGUCAUUCUGGGGCCCGUAUUUCUACACAAUAUGUUCCCCUUUGAGAGGUUCAUGGGAGUCCUAAAGAAAUAUGUCCGUAACCGCGCUAGGCCAGAAGGAAGCAUCUCCAUGGGCCAUCAAACAGAGGAUGUCAUUGGGUUUUGUGUUGACUUCAUUCCUGGCCUUAAGAAGAUAGGUCUCCCUAAAUCGCGGUAUGAGGGGAGACUGACUGGAAAAGGCACGCUUGGAGGGGGGGACUCAAUAAUAUGCAGGGACGGACAUUCUUGGUCUGAAGCACACUACACAGUUCUACAGAACUCUACCUUGGUGACCCAUAUGUCGAUGAACACAAGAACAGUCUGCGCUCCAAACACCCGGAGCAGUGUGACGACUGGAUUACAUGUGAACACAUCAGGACUUUCAGCAGUUGGUUGGAAACACGUCUCAGAGGUGACACCACUGUUUGUGAUGAGUUGUACUCGUUGUCCAGGGGACCAUCUUCGACUGUAUUGACUUACAAAGGAUACGAGAUAAAUGGGAAUACAUUUUACACGAUCGCCCAAGAUCAAAAGAGCACCAACCAAAACAGCGGUGUCCGCUUUGAUGCAGCAACCGAGAGGGGAAAGGACACAUAUUAUGGUUACAUAAUGGACAUAUGGGAACUUGACUACGGACAUGAUUUUAAGGUCCCUUUGUUUAAGUGCAAAUGGGUCAAUCUGUCAGGAGGCGGGGUACAUGUAGACCCACAGUACGGAAUGACAACAGUGGAUCUGAACAAUCUUGGGUACACUGACGAACCGUUCGUCCUAGCCAAUGAUGUGGCACAGGUUAUCUAUGUGAAGGACAUGUCUACCAGACCGAGGAAAAGAAAAGAUAAGGAAGCGAAUACAUCAUACGAUGAGCCAAAGCGGCACAUAGUUCUUUCAGGAAAAAGGGACAUUGUGGGAGUGGAGGGCAAGACAGACAUGUCUGAAGAUUAUGAAAAGUUUCAUGAAAUUCCUCCCUUCAAAGUCAAGGCUGACCCAAGCAUCCUGAUAAACGAUGAAGAUUAUCCAUGGUUACGGCGCAAUAAGCAAAUGACACAAGCGAAGAAAAAGUGAAGACUUUCUCCCGCAACUAUUAUGAUGAUACCAUGCCAACUUUGUAAUAGACGAGUAUGAUACCAUUGUCCGUUUUGUACAAGAAGUGCAUCUAGUUGUUGCCGUAACCCUCUCAACUUUCUUGCACAUGCUAUGUGGAUGAAAUGAUGAUACCAUGCCAACUUUCAACCUUUUCAGAGUUCAUUUGAAAUGCUUUAUAAGCCCUGAGUGCAGAGAGGUUAGGCCCGUAAGCCUGCUUUAGAGAGGAGCUCGACAGCUCAGGCGCACCGCACCUUAUAAACAGGUGCGGCUCUCUCUUAGCUAGCGAGGUGGGACUAAACUCACCACCACGCCGCUGUGCAAGGCCAUUGGUCCCGGUUGGUGGCACGAACCGGGACCAAUUCCACCCUUUGGUCCCUGUUGGUGCCACGAACCGGUACUAAUGAGGUUGUGGCCCCACGAGCACCUUUAGUACCUGUUCGUGGCACGAACCGGUACUAGAGUUUCUUACUAGCUAAGCAGUUUUUUAGUCCCACCUCGCUAGCUGAGAGGCACUAGGAGCGGUUUAUAAGCCCUGAGUGCAGAGACGAUGAAGAAGAGGCGCAAUGCUCACGUUGCUUAGCUUCAAGCCUUGAGGAAUAAGGUAGACUGCAUCGAGCUAUGUGCAGUGCAGUCUACACUAUUCCGAAAGGCUUGAAGCAAAUCAACGCGCAUUGCGCCUCUUUUUUAUUUUUAAUCAUUAAAAGCAAAAAGAAUUUUCAUAAAAAACUUUUUUGAUAGAAACUUUAAUAGCAGAAAGAAUUAUCAUAAAGUAAAAUAAAUAAGUAAUUAGAAACAAAAUAAAAUAAAAUAAAUAAGUUUUUUGUUGUAAGUAGAAACAAAACAAAAUAAAUAUAGCAAAAAAGAAAACAAAAAAACUAAAUACAGCAAAAAGAAUUUUCAUAAAGAACUAAUGGCACUAAUAGAAAGUUUAUAUUUUUUCUAAAACUAAUGGCACUAACAGAUAGUUUAUAAUUUUGCUGACCUAAAAGCAAAAAGAAUUCAAAAAUAAAGCAAAAAACAAAAGAAAAUAAAUAAUGCAAAAAACAGAACCAAAAAACUGGAAUUUUUUUUAAAAAACUGCCACCUAUUGGGCCACCACGGCCUGAAUACGACUAGAAACCCAACCUGGGCCAGGAUUCAGGCCCGCAGAAGGCCCAAUAGGCCAACAGACAGCACAGUGUGACAUUAGGCCCGUAAGCCUGCAUUUGAGAGGAGCUCGAGAGGGCAGCCGCAGUGGGGCUUAUAAACCACUCCGAGCCCCUCUCAACUAGCGAGGUGGGACUAAACUUUUGGCCGCGGGCAGCGCAAGGCCUUUGGUCUCGGUUGGUGCCACCAACCGGGACCAAAGGCCGCCGCUUCCCGCCCUUUGGGCUGCUGAAAAGGGGACACCCCUCUCGACCGUGAUAACUUAUACCACGGGAGCACCCCCCGGCCCUAGAGGACACCCAAACCCUAGAAAAAAACGAUGUCGGUCUCCUACCCCCUCCCGCCGCGCCCCUACCCUUGAACCGUUGCCUAGGCCACCCCAAACCCGGAAUAAGCUAGGUCUACGUUUGCACUAAUAUAUCCACCUGUUGUCAUGUUUGUGUAAUAAUUGCCAUGUUGUAAUAUUUGCAGAAACAAUGGAGCACGGCCGAGAUGAGCAAGCAGAAGAGGUGUUGGGGGACAUAAUCUUAGCCGGAGGUGAUAUCUUGUCGUAUCUUAACGACAAUGAUGGUCUGGAAGAACAGGGUGAAGAAGCAGGCUGCGGUGAUCGAAGAGUGGAGGAGAAAGACAUGAUUAUGAUGGCUCCGGUGACCCAAUGUUGGUGCAAGAAGGAGCCCGUGGUGACGGCUCCGGUGACCGAACAGAGUCUGGCCAGGUAAAUAUAUUAGUUAAGCCUGUGCUGACUAGCUAAUUGAUGCAUUCAUUGUUUUGGUAUGUACACAUAUUAAUUAACACUCGUCUUUCUUCCUUUUUCUAGCCCUCCGGAUCGAGCACAACUGUGGUAAAGAGACGAGGCCCGAAGAGAAAGUUGCGCUCGGAUGAAAGGUUUGAGAUCACAGCAAUCGUGCGCGACGGCCAACCGAUUGAACCCCUCCGGACAAAGGAUGCUUUUGUUGCUCAGUGCGGGGUUCUAGUUAGGGACAAGAUCCCGAUCAGCAUCCACCAAUGGUAUAAGCCUAAGAAGGAAGACCCUGAGGUGUCUUAUGUCAAUGAUAUGCAGAAAGAUGAUCUUUGGACUGAGCUGAAGGCAAAUUUCACCCUACCGCCAGAGGAGGAUCCGGAGAAGCCAGUUAUAGAGCAAUUAAUCAAGUCUCAUGCUCUUAAGAAGAUGGCAGACCUAUUCAGGAGGUGGAAGAAUGAGCUGAAAACGUUUGUCGACAAAGAAGAGACACCAGAAUUCAUCGGCCGGUAUGAGAAGAUCAGAGAUCACUGGCCCGCAUUUGUGGCCCACAAGACAUCGGAAAAGAGUAAGAAGAUGUCAGCGACAAACAAGAAGAAUGCUGCGAAGAAGAAGCUUCACCAUCGCACAGGGUCAGGUGGCUACCUCAAAGCCCGGCCUAAGUGGGCCAAGUCUGAGAGGGAUCUGCUUGAUAAAGGGAUCGAACCAGAGACAAUGAACUGGCCAGACCGUUGCCGGACUUGGUUCUUCGGGGCUGGCGGAACCUUGGACCCUGUAUCAGGGAGGUGUCGUUGGACGGACGAGCAACUUGCAAUACCCGUCAAGAAGCUUAAGCACUAUAUCGAUGCAGCGCAGCAAGGGACGUUCGUUCCAGACAGAGAGAACGACGAGCUCACAAUGGCCCUCGGGAAUCCUGAGCACCCUGGACGGACAUGAGGCACGCCAGGCUCCGUUCCGUGGAAGGAUGGUUUUCCGGACGCGGGCGGUUACAAAACCCAGGAGAGGAGGAAAAAAGUGGAGCAGAUCCAAAUUCAGCGUCUGCACGAAAGGGUUCAAGUGCUAGAGGAACGAGACGGCAAUCGAGAUGCCAAAACUGCCCCCGAAGCUACACGGCAUCUCAGCGGAGAAGCAGCAUGGCUUCCACCGAGCUGCCUCAGCUGGAGCAUGCGGCUCCUGCUAGCUACCCCGUGGAUGCUAUCACAGAGUCUCAACAUUGCCACCUUAUGGCGGAAUGGCAGAACUUGAAAGUCAAGGCGGCUGUUGGCUCUGUUUUACCUACUAAACCCGGCGCAACCUACCACUGCCGGCCGAUUCCAGAAGGAUAUGCUAGGGUGAUGGUGGAUGAAAUAACGGAGGGAUUUGAGGACCUCCAGCUUGACCACCCUACCGGUGAAGGGGAGACUCGGCUGGGUUUAGCUCUGAAGACUCCAUGCCUAUGGCGGAAGGAGCUCAUCAAGCUUCCGAACUGGACGGCUCCGGCGAGUAAGGGCACUCCGCCUCCUCCUCCGGCGAGUGAUCAGGGCACUCAGCCUCCUUCUCCGGCGCGUGGCGGCACUCCGCCUCCUUCUCCGCCAGCGCCGGCGCGCCAGAGCAGCCAGCCUCCUCCUUCUCCGCCUCGUCAGCAAGGGCGGAAGAGACCUGCCGCCGCUGGGGCUGCUCCGGCGCAUCGUAGUCCUUCUCCUCCGCCUCGUAAGCAAGGAAAGAAGACAGCCGCAGCCGCUCCGUCUGCUCUACCGGCGUCUAGCAGUACAGCUGCCAGAGGCGGGAGGCAAUACAGAUUCGGUCCUUCUCUGAAGACUCCAGAGAAGUUACCAUAUGAGAGGACCGAGGAGGAGAACGCGAAGAUCAUGCGAGCCGAAGUGAAGAACUUCUUUGAAGGGGUGAAAGAAAAAAAACAUCCACCUCCGGAGGAGAAGGUAGAUCCGGUGAAAGCAAAGUGCACUCUGGCUGCCCUGACAAAACCACCAAAGUCUCCGCCGAGAGGCAACUAUGAGCGCGUUCUUGGAAAGGCAUAUGCCGAAGCGGAGCGGUCGGGAAGUACUGUCAGUGAUAAAAGGAUGAAAGAACGACGAGCUGGGAAAAAAAUUGCCCAGCUCGGCGAACAAGCGAACCAAUCGUGCCCCCCGCUCAAGGUGUCAAAAGACAUCGUCGCUAAUGAUCCGGGUAUGGUGCCCGGUUAUAGCAAUCUUGGAGAUUACCUGCCCGACGAUGUACAUUAUGAAAUCAUGGAGGUGGACGAACACAAAUACCAUUACGGGAAGCCUCUCGUCAAAGAUGUCAGAUCUCUAAGCACGAUGAUGCGAAGACUACAUGAUUGGUACAUGAAAACCUGCAGAGAGUCUGAUGGGAUGAGUACUUUGACGCUGAGAGUUAAACCGGAGCAUGACCUCGUUGGAAUUGAACUGCUGAAUGUUCCAUUUGAGGAUUUCUUCCAGUUUUACAAUCAAAAGUCCCUCGAUAAAACAACGAUCACUUGCUACUGUCUGUAAGUAGUACUACUUCUGUCAUUAAGUCUCUCUAUAUAGGUCAGCUCUUUCAUUGCAUGUAUUUAUACUUAUCCUCACUAUAUUAUGCAGAUUGAAGAUCGCUGAAUUGAAGAAAAGACAAAUCGGUGAUAUUGGGUUCAUUAACACAAAUCUCAUAGAUGCAUAUAUGGUUGAAAAAAAUCCCAAAGAAGCCGAGGCCAACUUGCUACAAUCGUUGGUAUUAAAUCAAAACAAAGAUAUAAUACUCUUUCCUUACAACUUCAAGUGAGUGUUACUGUCUUGUGCAUAUUCGGUUUCCCUUAUUAGUCCAGGUUAUGGUAAUGUAAUUGAUGACUUAUGCAUGCAUGCGCAGCUUCCACUAUGUUCUCCUAGAGAUUAAGCUUGAGCGGGGAGUAGUAACCGUCUUAGACUCGAGACGAAAAGAUCCCCAGGACUAUGCGAACAUGACUCAAAUGCUCCAGAAGUAAGUUAAAUCGAUCAUUAUCCACCAUAUCAGCAACUUUGUUCAUUUCCUGAUAUCAAGUAAUUGUUUUCUUUGUCUGGCAGGGUUUGGAGAAAAUUCACCUCAAAAGCUCCGGGACUCCCGAAGAAGCUGCAAUUUAGACACCCGAAAGUAAGUACCAUAGUAGCAUGUUCCGCGCAUCUCCUAGUGAUUCAAGCGCUAGUUUCAUCAAUACCAUUUAGCAUGCUUGCUUAUCGGUUUGAUUGACCUCUAUUUCUUGUAAAGUGGUUGUGGCAGGAACCCGGGAAUAAUUACUGUGGAUACUACGUUUGCGAGUCCAUCCGCCACACGACCUGUGAGCGGGGCUACACUGAAGAAUAAUAUGAAGUGCGUAAGCAAUAAUAUUCACAAUUUUAUUUUAUUACCAUCAUUUGUGUUGAGUUUCAUUUAUUCAUAUAUAUAUAUAUAUGUAUUGACCCCCUUCUUCAAAUUAGAUCUUUCGGAUGCGGGAUGAACUCCUAGCAGAACAUCGUAUGCGAGCAAUUCAAGAGGAAUUGGCGGCAUUCUUCCUUGACCACGUGAUCGCUGAAAACGGAGAAUACUAUGUGGACCCUGUGUUCCUACAAUAUAAUUAGGAGAUUGUAUUGUAAGAGAUAAUUAUUGUAUAUAUGUAGCCGGUAGUGUCGGAUAGAUAUACGAGAACUUGUUGUUCGACCAAUAUCUCGGAGAAGGAGAGGUGGUCGAUAUCACUUCUCUCUGUAUGCAUAUGUUCAUGACGAUCUUCUGUUUCCUUCAUUCGAUUACUAGCUAGCGUGUCUACUCCUCUCCAUACGUAUAUAGUAUGUAGCGUCGACCAAGCACGGAGAUAAGAGAGGACACUUCUCUCUAUUAAUUAGCUAGCUAACACAAUAUAUGAAACACCUAAAUUAACCACCCAAAACCCCUAAACCACCCCCUUUAAAAAAAAUAAAAACCUCAGCUCCUGCCAGGUGCUGACGCGUGGAUGCCUAUUGGUCCCGGCUGGUGACACCAACCGGGACAAAAGGCCCUCCUGCCUGGGCUCCCCGCACCAGCCACGUGGACGGCCUUUAGUCCCGGUUCGUGUAAGAACCGGGACUAAAGGGCUAGGGCAUUAGUAACGACCCUUUAGUCCCGGUUCCAGAACCGGGACUAAAGGCCCUUAUGAACCGGGGUAAAAGCCCCUUUUCCUACUAGUGUUCUGACAAUAAAAAAGAGUAGGAGGUUGCCAGGACCUAUGGUGUACCCUAGGAGCUUGACUGCGAGGUAGGGAGGCGUUGCGGUGGCCAGACGUGGCGCCAUCGGGGAACAUGCCAUUGCUGGGGAAGACACCCGCGGCAAGCUUGAUCACCACUGUGCAUGCCUACCUCCGUCUCGCCACCGUCCUCACAUGUCCGAUGCCUUCCAGUGCUGACGAGGAGAGUCGCCAGGGUUCAUCAGCACGACACGUGAAAGGGGACCACGGCAGGCUGAACACAGACACAUGGAAAGGUGCAGCGGCUGUUGAAAGUGGGAUUGCCCGCCUCCCUCCAUCAGUUCGGAUUUUUGGAUGAGUUGGCUGGAGCAUGAAUCCAAUAUGGUAGAGCCAAGAGGCCUUGAGUUCAAGACCCUGCUAACGCAGUAUUACAAUAAAAAUAAUUAUGCGGCCUACAUCAAUCCCACGUCUAAAGACUAAAAUAGCCUAAACGUGAGGUGGUAAGUUUUUUUUUUGGUUUAAGGACUGGACAAGUACACUUCUUUUUUUUGCGAGGAGUACAAGUAUACUUCUAACUGAGUUGUAACAGUUGGUGUGCAGCUCCGUAAAAAGUUCUCCUUUUUUGUGAGGUAUAAAAGUACUCCUAUUUAAAACAGGACUGAUUUGCAAAAAACAAAACUCUACAUGAUUAUGAAUUUAUUUGCUUACCCCUUUUUUAUUCUAAGUUGAUUUAUUUUUCAAUCGUAACCAAAUUUGUAUAAAUAAAUUAAACUCAAAAAACGGAAUAAGCAAAUAGUAAGCUUUGUAGUGUAACAAAAGGUAUAAUUGGAGGGGUGUUCAAAAAAAAGUAUGAUUGGAUGGACUUAAUUCACUAUCGUGGAAAUAAGUUAAAAUCAACAGCAAGGCUGUGAAGGAAAGAAAUAUAUUCACUUUCAUGGAACGAAUCCAUGAAAAUUGCCAACAAAUUGGCAAUUGCAUUUAAAUCCAUGGCAUCGCCAACUGUUUGUAAUUUGCACGUGCAUUUUACUAGUUGUAGUAGUCUAUCUAGCAACCAACUGACUAAACAUCAUGAUGUGUCUAGUUACAUGUUACACUGUAAUCUUUGUACCUUCGUGUUAAGGCAGACUUUGUGUUAACACAUCCACAUUGGUGGCAUUGUGCAUACACGACUUCAGUUCUUCUUUAGACAAUCGCCCAGCAUCAUCCGGGUAAUAUGUCGUGGUUCUUCAUACUUGAACAGGUGGUGGGCGCACUCUAAUAGCAGCUGAACCCGCCUCUAUAGUUAGGUCUUCAAAGUUUGCAUGCCCGUGAUACCUUCACCAUUCAGGUGCUUCACCUCAGUCACUAGGAGUCCGACCUCCUCAGACAACUAGGGUACGACCUGUCAAAAGAACAUUUUCCGCAUCACCAUCAUAGACCGCGGCACACCAGCUACCAUGCCAGCCACAUGGCCAUGGCAGCGAGCCAACACCUAAGAGGGGAACCAACUCCACGGUCGUGACUAUUUUAAGGUCCUCGACCAGAUCCGAGGGUAAGCAAAGGGUUCAACCGCCAGAUUCUGUCCAUUGGAUUUUAGAUCUUGAUGGUAGGUAGGGGCUCCAAAGCGCUCAUGUGCUUCAGCUGAUCCGAAGUCUUGGGUCUCCGGCGUGGAGACACGCGGGAACGAUUUUGAUCGUCAGAUGAGGCUUCCAUCGAACCUUGGCGAUCACGCGGCGGGGUCUGUAUGGGCCACCAAUGUCGGUGCUAAAAUUGACGGAUCUCGGGUAGGGGGUCCCAAGUUGGUGAUCUUAGAAUGAUGGUAACAUGAUUGAUAGGGACACGGUAUUUACGCGGGUUCGGGCCCUCUCAAAGAGGUAAAACCUACGUCCUGCCUUGUUUAUAUUGAUUGUGGAUGGGAUACAGAGUACAAUAUAAAUCAUGGUCCAUCCGUGAGCUCUUCUCGCCUCCCCCCGAAGCUUCCAAGGUGUCUUCUGGUCCAAGAAAAAUCGUCAAAAAGUUUCGUUCCGGUUGGACUCUGUUUGGUAUUGAUUUUUUGUAGAAGACAAAAACAAGGAAAAAACAACAACUGACACUGGGCACUAGGUUAAUAGGUUAAUCCCAAAAAUGAUAUAAAAUAACAUAAAAAUGCAUAUAAAACAUUCAAGAUGAAUAAUAUAAUAGCAUGGAACAAUAAAAAAUUAUAGAUACGCUGGAGACGUAUCACAAUCAUAGGAGAAAUGAAGCAUAUGUAUGAUUCAAGCUAAGCCGCCGCUGGCAAAGAAAGAAAAACUAAAAAAUUGGUGAGUAAUAAUGCAAUGAAAAUAGAAAUGGAAAAGGAGACAACAUCUUUUGUUGAAAGAUGUAUAAAAGCUUGAAAGUGCGUUAUAUCGGCUAGAGGGGGUGAAUAGGCGAUUUUUACAAAUUCGUCACCGAGGAAUUUCACAGAGAGGAAAUUCCUAAGUCACGAACAACUAGCAGCGGAAUAAGUACUCAGAAGUAAACAAAACAGAGCAGAAGCACAGACAUCAUGAUGAAAUGAAAACAAGCACAGAGUACAAGUAGCGUAAACACAGGAUAAGCAGGCUGAAGACAAACUGACUGAAGAAAUUGAACUGAGGAAAUUGAGAAAGUCUUCAGUCAAAGUCUUCGAACAGUAACGAUCAGGUACAACAACACAGAAUGAGGAAAUUGGAAGGGUUGAGGAGAUAGAACCAGUUAGCUCGGUGAAGAUAGUGAUUUGGUAGACCAGUUCCAACUGCUAUGACAGUCGUACGUCUGGUUGGAGCGGCUAGGUAUUUAAACUUGAGAACACACAGUCCCGAACACACAGUCCUCACCGUAUUAUCCUUGCUCUAAGGUCACACAGACCUCGCCCAAUCACUCGUGGUAAGUCUUCAGGUGACUUCCAAACCUUCACAAACUCGGUCACUCGGCGAUCCACAAUUUCCUCUUGGAUGCUCUAGACCAUGACGCCUAACCGUCUGGAAGAUGCACAGUCUUCAAAGGUAACAACCGUCGGAUCCACACAGGAACAAUCUCUUCAGUGAUGCUCAAUCACUUUGGGUUUGUAGGUAUUUGGGUUUGAGUUUUCCUCACUUGAUGAUUUUCGCUCAAAGUCCUCGGAGGAUGGGAUGCUCCCAAUGACAAGUGUCAGUUUCUCUCGGAGCAGCCAACCAGCUAGUGGUUGUAGGGGGCGGCUAUUUAUAGCCUACGGAGCAGCCCGGCAUGAUAAGGCAUAAAUGCCCUUCAAUGAUAUGACUGUUAGGUCAGUAGAUAUUUUGGGACAGCUAGCGCGUAGCACAACAGCGGUCGGAAAUUUGAGCUCUCAAAUUCCUCAGGGCUAUCAUGUUCCUCACUUGUAGGCAAUCCGCACUAGCGAAUUCCUAACUCCUCAGUCAGAACAAAUUUCUUAGAGACCAGAAGAUCUUCGUCUCUUUCACUGAAGAAAUUGACUGAACUGUAUGAGGUUUCCAAUGGCUUCACUCAAAGGGAUUGGUAGGUGUAUAGGAUUUUGAGAUGAGCAUCACUUGGAAACUUUUUCUUAGUUUUUCCUCGACCCCCUUUAACAGUAUGGUGUUUCCUAUGACUCAAGAAAGAGAAAACGAAACUACGAAAACAAAAGUCUUCACGCUUCAUGUUCCUCGCACGAAUAUCAAGUCUUCACGGUCACACCAAUUUCUUCACUUUCACAGUCUUCAGAAAGCCAAAGUCUUUAGUUGAAGACAUUCAUUUUUAGGGGUCGACUUUCACUGUAAAUAUCAAACUCCUCAUAGACCUAUAGACAUGUGUAUACUCACAAACACAUUAGUCCCUUAACCUAUAAGUCUUCAAUACUCCAAAAUCACUAAGGGGCACUAGAUGCACUUACAAAGCUACGGACACAGUGUCUUGUCAUAUUGAUUGAUGUUUUACUGUUCACAUUAUGUCAUCUUGAUUAUUGCGGCGCUCUGUUCCUUGCAAACCUAAUACCCCGAGAUGCAUGCUGGAUAGCGGUUUUGGGGUGGACUAUUAGUAGUAGAUGCAGUUGGAAGAACGGUCUUCUUAUCACGGUCGUAAUGCCUAUAUGAGAUUAUAGUAUGAAUGAUCAUACUCAUAAAUAUAAAUAUUGCAAUUCAAUCGCUGCUCAACUGUAAUUUAUUUACCAUACUACUUGCUUGUUUCGAGAGACAUGCCACUAGUGAACCUAUGGUCCCCAGUCUAUUCUCCAUUACUAAAAUCUUCAUCACAAUUGCUACUUAUACUUUGUCGUGUCACAUUUCUAUCAAUCGAUUCAAAGGAGAAGAGAAAGGACUUAUUGAACUAGCUUCCAAGAUCGACGACCAAAGAUGGAGCAGCUCGAAAGAACCGGGGAGUAUCCUCGACUUGAAGACCGGUUCAGGGGCUACUGACGGUGUCUUGGAUUAGGGGUGCUCACCACAUCAUCUCCCGGCUAGGAGGGCUGGGCCGAGGACCCUAAGAUGAUUCAGUAGUGGGCCUAACUCGUCGACCCAGGAGCGCUAGGAAGGGAUGUUUCCAAAGACUUGGCACCUACUCCAAGAUUUAGAGGUCGUCUACAUCAUGAUUACCUUAAUUAUAUGUAACCAACCUAUGUGUAAACCCUACACACCCCUAGUAUCUAUACAAGCCAAGGGGCAAGAUUCAUAGAUGACACACAAGGAUCUCACGGUAGAUCAACCUGUAAUCUCUACUGCGUCAAACAAUACAAUCAAAGCAAGACGUAGGGUAUUAUCUCUUUGAGAGGGCCCGGACCUGCGUAAAUCCCUAUCUUCUGUUAACAUCGCAUGGAAGCUACCUUCUCGGGAUCCCCUACCCGAGAUCUGCUGGAUCUGACUCCAUCAACCUCCUCGUCCCACUCGCCGCUGCCGCAUCCACUGGUGCCCCACCGCCGACAUUGGUUCCGCUUCUUGCCGUCGACGAUGUAAAUAGCGGCCCGCACCCUACCCAGGGUCGUCGCCGCCCAUCGGCACACUGUCUCCACCUCCGCGGUCACCGUCGAAAGACGUGGGGUUCACCAGCCUUGCUGCCUGGAGGGCCAAGGACGGUCCCUUCACCAGCCGAGACUCGUCCAUGCCCGCCCACAAGAUGUUCGACCAUUUGCCCGGCCGAGACUCGUCCACGCCCACUGUUGUCUAGUAAGGUACAAAUUCACAUCACUCGAAAGGAUCAUGGCGGAUACCUCGGACAAGUUCUUUUUUUUUACAAUAACUUCAUAUGUUCAUCAUUGUCUGAAGAAUAGUCUGGUGAUGAUUGUGAUGUUGUGGUUGCUACACUUCUCAUGGAUGAACACAUUGCAAAGCGGCGUCCAUUGUUCAGUGGAUCGAUACCGGGCCAAGUUCCUGGGUUGACUCAUAAUAGAGAAAACGUCCAUGCCCUACUCUUCAAUGAUUAUUUCCAUCAGACAAAACAACUAUUCCCUACCAAGCUUUUUCGGCGAUGCUUAUGGAUGGGGAGACCAUUGUACAAUCGUAUUUGGCAGGGAGUGAUGGGUUAUGAUUAUUACUUCAAUUGCAAGUAUGAUGCCCUUGGAAGGGUUGGCUUGACCUCUUAUCGAAAAUGCACUGUAGUUGUUUCGAUGCUUGCAUACGGAGUUCCCGAUGAUCUAGUUGAUGAGUACGUAAGCAUGCGUGAUUCCACAUGCCUUGAGUCAUUGUACAUGUUUAUGAUUAGAGUGUUUGGCCUAGAGUACUUGAGAGAACCAAAUGUUGAGUAUACAACCCGAUUGUUAUUGAUCAAUGCUUCUAGAGGCUUUCCGGUGAUGCUUGGAAGCAUAAAGUGUAUGCACUGGGAGAGGAAGACUAUCCAUUUUCUUGGCAGGGGCAAUAUAAGCACUAGUAGAAAAAGGGGCUUUCGUUCGGGCCUAGCCAGCCCAUUAGUCCGGGUUCUGCCACGAACCGGGACCAAUGGAGGCAUGUGUCCCGGUUCGUGAGCCCAGGGGGCCGGCCGGGCCUCGUGGGCAUUGGUCCCGGUUCGUCUGGGCCCAUUUGUCUCGGCUCUUGGCACGAACCGGGACCAAUGAGCCUCGCUCCUGGCCCACAACCAUUGGUCCCGGUUCGUGGAAGGAACCGGGAUAGAAGGGUGGCCUUUAAUCCCGGUUCCAGCCACGAACCGGGACAAAUGAGUUGCCUAUAUAUACCCCAUUGCCUGCGAGCAGAGCACUCCACAGUGCUCUGUUUUUUGCUGGCCGGCGAGGAAGGGCAUUUGGGUGCUCUAGCUCACCUCUUAUGCAUGUGAGGUGUUCGAUGAAAUGCCCAAGCCACACUAGUUAAGCUUUCUCCUCUCGAAGCUCAACCUCCGAGCUCCAUUUUUUCUGAGAUUUGUCUAGGUUUAGCGGUCCGUCACGCCCCGUCCUCGUCUUCACCGUCGUCGAUCGCCCGCGCCGAUCUCGUCGCCGGCACCACCGUGGUGAGCCUCUUGUUCUUAUCUUCUUUCUGAAAGAAAAAAAUCUUACUUUAGAUAGAUACUUGUCUAAUUUUCUUGCUUUUGACACACAUAAUUAUAUAUAAUGCACGCAGAUGAACCGGCAAUGGAUGUACGGUGACAGACACACCUCUGAGUACAUUAAGGGCGUGCAUAAUUUCUCGAAGUGGCUGAGGAAAACAAGCAGAAUGGUUUUAUGUGUUGUCCAUGCCCUAAUUAUGGGAAUACGAGGUCUUACUCUGACAAGAAAAUCCUUCACACCCACCUGCUUUAUAAGGGUUUCAUGCCACACUAUAAUGUUUGGACGAAGCACGGAGAAAUAGGGGUUAUGAUGGAAGACAUCGAAGAAGAAGAGGACGAUGACAACUAUGUGCCCCCUGAAUACGGUGAUGCUGCAACGGGGGAAGUUGAAGAUCAAGAGGAAGCUGAAGAUCCAGAGGAACCAGACGAUGUGCACGAUGAUGAUCUCCGCCGGGUCAUUGUUGAUGCAAGGGAAAAGUGCGAAAGUGAAAAGGAGAAGCUGAAGUUCGAUCGCAUGUUAGAGGAUCACAAAAAAGGGUUGUACCCCAAUUGCGAAGAUGGCAACACAAAGCUCGGUACCGUACUGGAAUUGCUGCAGUGGAAGGCAGAGAAUGCUGUGGCUGACAAAGGAUUUGAGAAGCUACUGAAAAUAUUGAAGAAGAAGCUUCCGAAGGAUAACGAAUUGCCCGACAGUACGUACGCAGCAAAGAAGGUCGUAUGCCCUCUAGGAUUGGAGGUGGAGAAGAUACAUGCAUGCCCUAAUGACUGCAUCCUCUACCGCAGUGCGUACAAGGAUUUGAACGCAUGCCCGGUAUGCGGUGCAUUGCGGUAUAAGAUCAGACGAGAUGACCCUGGUGAUGUUGAGGGCGAGCCCCGCAGGAAGAGGGUUCCUGCGAAGGUGAUGUGGUAUGCUCCUAUAAUACCACGGUUGAAACGACUGUUUAGAAACAAAGAGCAUGCCAAGUUGAUGCGAUGGCACAGUGAGGACAGUAAGAAAGACGGGAAGUUGAGAGCACCCGCUGACGGGUCACAGUGGAGAAAAUCGAGAGAAAGUUCUUGGCUGAGUUUGCAAGUGACCCAAGGAACGUAUGGUUUGCUUUAAGCGCGGAUGGCAUUAAUCCUUUCGGGGAGCAGAGCAGCAAUCACAGCACCUGGCCCGUGACUCUAUGUAUGUAUGACCUUCCUCCUUGGAUGUGCAUGAAGCGGAAGUUCAUUAUGAUGCCAAUUCUCAUCCAAGGCCCUAAGCAACCCGGCAACGACAUUGAUGUGUACCUAAGGCCAUUAGUUGAAGAACUCUUACAGCUGUGGAAUGGAACAUGUGUACGUGCGUGGGAUGAGCACAUGGGGGAAGAUUUUGACCGAAAGGCGUUGCUUUUCGUGACCGUCAAUGAUUGGCCCGCUCUCAGUAACCUUUCAGGACAGACAAACAAGCGAUACCACGCAUGCACGCACUGUUUAGCUGACACCGAAAGUAUAUACCGGGACAGAUGCAGGAAGAAUGUGUACAUGGGCCAUCGUCGAUUUCUCCCGACCAACCAUCAAUGUCGAAAGAAAGGCAAGCAUUUCAAAGGCGAGGCAGAUCACUAGAAGAAGCCCGCCAUGCGUACCGGUGAUCACGUACUUGCUAUGGUCUCUAAUUUACACGUAAUAUUUGGAAAGGGUCCCGGCGGACUAGCUGUUCCGAAUGACGCCGAGGGACGCGCACCCAUGUGGAAGAAGAAAUCUAUAUUUUGGGACCUACCCUACUGGAAAGAGCUAGAGGUACGCUCUUCAAUCGACGUGAUGCACGUGACGAAGAACCUUUGCGUGAACCUGUUAGGCUUCUUGGGCGUGUAUGGGAAGACAAAAGAUACACCUGAGGCAUGGGAGGACCUGCAAUGUUUGCACGAAAAAUACGGCAUGCCUCCAAAGCAGUAUGAAGGUCCUGCCAGCUACGCUCUUACCAAAGAAGAGAAGGAAAUCUUUUUUGAAUGCCUGCACAGUAUGAAGGUCCUGACUGGCUUCUCGUCGAAUAUAAAGGGAAUAAUAAAUAUUCCAGAGAAAAAGUUCCAGAACCUAAAGUCUCAUGACUGCCACGUGAUUAUGACGCAACUGCUUCCGGUUGCAUUGAGGGGGCUUCUACCGGAAAACGUCCGAUUAGCCAUUGUGAAGCUAUGUGCAUUCCUCAAUGCAAUCUCUCAGAAGGUGAUCGAUCCAGAAAUCAUACCAAGGCUAAGGAGUGAUGUGGCGCAAUGUCUUGUCAGUUUCGAGCUGGUGUUCCCACCAUCCUUCUUCAAUAUCAUGACGCACGUCCUAGUUCAUCUAGUCGAUGAGAUUGUCAUUCUGGGUCCCGUAUUUCUACACAAUAUGUUCCCCUUUGAGAGGUUCAUGGGAUUCCUAAAGAAAUAUGCCCGUAACCGUACUAGGCCAGAAGGAAGCAAUGGGCCAUCAAACAGAGGAUGUCAUUGGGUUUUGUGUUGACUUCAUUCCUGGCCUUAAGAAGAUAGGUCUCCCUAAAUCGCGGUAUGAUGGGAGACUGACUGGAAAAGGCACGCUAGGAGCGGACUCAAUAAUAUGCAGGGACGGACAUUCUUGGUCUGAAGCACACUACACAAUUCUACAGAACUCUACCUUGGUGACCCGUAUGUCGAUGAACACAAGAAUAGUCUGCGCUCCAAACACCCGGAGCAGUGUGACGACUGGAUUACAUGUGAACACAUCAGGACUUUCAGCAGUUGGUUGGAAACACGUCUCAGAGGUGACACCACUGUUUGUGAUGAACUGUACUCGUUGUCCAGGGGACCAUCUUCGACUGUAUUGAAUUACAAAGGAUACGAGAUAAAUGGGAAUACAUUUUACACGAUCGCCCAAGAUCAAAAGAGCACCAACCAAAACAGCGGUGUCCGCUUUGAUGCAGCAACCGAGAGAGGAAAGGACACAUAUUAUGGUUACAUAAUGGACAUAUGGGAACUUGACUACGGACAUGAUUUUAAGGUCCCUUUGUUUAAGUGCAAAUGGGUCAAUCUGUCAGAAGGCGGGGUACAGGUAGACCCAUAGUACGGAAUGACAACAGUGGAUCUGAACAAUCUUGGGUACACUGACGAACCGUUCGUCCUAGCCAAUGAUGUGGCACAGGUUAUCUAUGUGAAGGACAUGUCUACCAAACCGAGAAAAAGAAAAGAUAAGGAAGCGAAAACAUCAUACGAUGAGCCAAAGCGCCACAUAGUUCUUUCAGGAAAAAGGGACAUCGUGGGAGUGGAGGGCAAGACAGACAUGUCUGAAGAUUAUGAAAAGUUUCAUGAAAUUCCUCCCUUCAAAGUCAAGGCUGGCCCAAGCAUCCUGAUAAACGAUGAAGAUUAUCCAUUGUUACGGCGCAAUAAGCAAAUGACACAAGCGAAGAAAAAGUGAAGACUUUCUCCCGCAACUAUUAUGAUGAUACCAUGCCAACUUUCAACCUUUUCAGAGUUCAUUUGUAGUGCUUUUCAAUUUCAGGGUCUUAUAGCUCAAAAUAAUCAGUAAAUGCAUGGAAAAUAACAAAUAUCAUAAAAUAAAAUAAAUAAGUAAUUAGAAACAGAAUAAAAUAAACUUUAAUAAAAUAUAUAAGUAGAAACAAAAUAAAAUAAACUUUAAUAACAUAAAUAAAAUUUAUGAAACUAAAAUUAUCAACGUAUUUUCUGUUCAAAACAUUAUAAGCAACCUCUAGUAUUAUUGAAACUAAAAUUAUAUAAAAUUGAUGCAACUAAAAUUAUCAAUGUUUUUUCUGUUCAAAAUCAUUUAAAGCAAAAAGAAUUUUCAUAAAGAACUUUUUUUAGAAACUUUAAUAGCAAAAAGAAUUAUCAUAAAAUAGAAUAAAUAAGUUAUUAGAAACAAAAUAAAAUAAAAUAAAUAAGUAUUUUGUUGUAAGUAGAAACAAAAUAAAAUAAAUAAAGCAAAAAAGAAAACAAAUAAACUGGGGAAAAAAGCAACCUACUGGGCCACCACGGCCUGAAUACGACUAGAAACCCACCCAUGGGCCAGGAUUCAGGCCCGUAGAAGGCCCAAUAUAGAUAGAGUAUGUUUAGGCCCGAAAGCCUACAUUUGAGAGGAGCUCGAGAGGGCAGCGGGAGUGGGGCUUAUAAACCACUCUCGAGCUCCCUCAACUAGUGAGGUGGGACUAAACUUUCGUGCCGCGAUGUGGGCAGCACAAGGCCUUUAGUCCCGGUUGGUGCCACCAACCGGUACUAAAGGCGUACAUUGGUACCGGCUCAUGCCAACAACCGGUACCAAUGCGCACCCUUUAGUCCCGGUUUGUGCCACCAACCGGGACCAAAGGCCUCUGCUUCCCGCCCUUUGGGCUGCUGAAAAGUGACCUUUGGUCCCGGUUGGCGGCUCCAACCGGGACUAAAGGGGUGCUUUGGUCCCGGUUGCUGCCACGAACCGGGACCAAAGGUCUGUCUAUAGAAGCCACACUUGUGAAAUUUUCGGUUCAGUUCUUCUUCCCACUGCCCCGACGUCGUCGCCGCGUGCUCCCCUGCCCCGACGCCGUCGCCGCGCGCCCCUGCCCCAACGCCGUCGCCGCACGCCGCCCCUGCCCCGACACCGUCGCCGUCGUCACCGCCCCGGUCCGUGACGCUCCGCGUGGUCACCGCACCGGUCCGCGCCGCCCCUGCCCCGACGCCGUCGUCGACGCCGCCCCCAGUGAGCCCUGGCCCCCGCGCCCCUGCCCCGCCGCCGCCGCCGUGGCCGCCGUAAAAAAUAUAUGAUUAGAUGAUUUUUUGUUCAUAGAUGUGAUUUUUUGUUCAUAUAUCAUAUGAUGUUUUUAUAUUGUUCAUAGAUGAUCGAUCAUAUUUGUUCAUAUGUAUGCAAGCGAAGUCGUUGUAGUUAGGGUUAGGGUCGUUGAGGAAAGAAAUUAAGGAAAGAAGAAAAGAGGAAGAAAAGAGGAAGAAGGAAGAAGAAGAAAAAUAAGAAGAGGACGAAGAAGAAGAAAAAAAGAGGAGAAGGAGAAGGAAUAUAGGAGAAGGAAAAAAAUAGAUUAAAAUCUAUUUUUUCUUCUUCUCCUCUAUUCCUUCUUCUUCUCCUUUUUUUUCUUCUUCUCCUCGGACAUGUGAUGAGGGGGGAGAGGAAAAGGGAAAAUAAGAAGAGGAAAAGGAGAAGAAGAAGGAGAAGAAGAGGAGAGGAAGAAGUGGAGAAAUAAAUAAGAAGAGGAAAAAAGAAGAAGAAAAAGAGGAGAAGAAGAAAGUAAUAGAGGAGAGCCUCUAUUCCUUUCUUCUNNNNNNNNNNNNNNNNNNNNNNNNNNNNNNNNNNNNNNNNNNNNNNNNNNNNNNNNNNNNNNNNNNNNNNNNNNNNNNNNNNNNNNNNNNNNNNNNNNNNNNNNNNNNNNNNNNNNNNNNNNNNNNNNNNNNNNNNNNNNNNNNNNNNNNNNNNNNNNNNNNNNNNNNNNNNNUAAGUGCUUAGUAGUUGAACUAGUUGAUUUAAUAAAACUACUUUAUUUUACUAUAUAUAGAAGUAGUUUAUUUUUUGUAAGUACUACUUUAUUUUAUAUAGUAAGUGCUUAAUUAGUAGUUGAACUAGUUGAUUUAAUAAAACUACUUUAUUUUACUAUAGAAGUAGUUUAUUUUUAGCAAGAAAAUUAAUAGAACUAGUUUACUUUUAGUUCAAGCAAUUAUUCCCGCAUCGACAUCGACGAUGCCUAUCCCGCAUCCUCGUCGUCGACUCGGCGGAGGAGGCCGGCUUGAUCAGAGGGGCCAUGUCCGGGACUGGGCUCCGCCGUGCUGGUAUUGGGAGGUGCUACCUUCCAAGGGCCGUAGGUUGGUGAGGAGCCAGCCCGUCGUUGACCCGAUCCUUGUUUGGUGGCGGUCGCGUGGGCCAGUGACGGUGCCUAGGCUUCCGGACACCGCGGAGGUGGUAAGUCACCAUGUCAGCGAGGAGGACGAGCACGUCUGUUGCUACAUGGUUGCAUUGGAGGGCAGGUUCGACAAUACCUAGCAGGUUCUUCAGGGAUCUCACUGGAGCUAUGAUCAUGUGAUGGUUCCUUCCCUUUGGGUGUCCACCGCCCGCGCCGAUACCCGUCGGGCGCUACGGUUCUAGCUGUACUAGCGAUGUUAUAUAUAUAUGUAUGAUAGUAUUCAAGGUGUAUUAGUGAUAAUAUUCGACGAUGUACGGACGGAAGAGAUGAUGUAGUUUUGCUUAUAAUUGAAUGCAUGCUAAUUUGAAUACUACUUUAUUUUACGAUUUGGUUUUGCUUAUUGAAUGCUCAAAUUGGAAAACUACUCCUACUUUGAAUGCUAAAAUUGGAGAGCACUAUGCAAGGAGUAUGCAUAUGAUUAGUUGAUAGCUUAUAGGGUUUUUGUUGUCGCAUAAAUCUAGGAGCCCCCCUCCAUCAUCCCCGCCGUCGUCCCCGUCACCGGCCCCCUCCGACCUCGAGGUGAGACCAGCCAAAUCCUUUUUUAGAAAGAUAAUUAAAGAUUCCUUUUAUGGGCAAAAAUAUCUAAUGUUUUAGAUUUUCCAAGAUAAUUAAACGAUAUUUCGGGUUGACUUUAAGUCUGUCAAGUCUCCACCAUAUAUGAGAGGACGAAGAAUCCCGACUGUUGUCGUGGGGUAGCUUCUCCUUCGUUCCCGUGUGCUAGACAAUUUGGUGUAAUGCACUCGGGAACGAAAGGAGGAGCUACCUUCACCGACGGUCACAAAUGUCAGAGAGGAAUCAGUGAGGGAGAGUUCCACCAUAUAUAUAUGAGAGGACGAAGAAUCCCGACUGUUGUAGUGGGGGUCGCUUCUCCUUCGUUCCCGUGUGCUAGACAUUUUGGUGUAAUGCACUCGGGGACAAAUGGAGGAGCGACCAUCACCAACAGCCGAAUGUAUACACCACGUGAGCUGAGAGUUUUCAAGAAAAGACUCGACAAACCAAUAGUCAAGCCGUGAUGAAUAAUAAUGAUCUAAUUUAGUUUUUGUAGUACAUAUAUUUAAUUGUACAAGUUUAAUCUUUGAAUUAUGAACGUAGGAAAUGUCGUCAUCGGACGACGAAAGUCUCCCGGGGGAGUGCGGCUGGUGCAUGACGAUCGACGUUUGUGCGACAGGCCUCACAUGGACGAUGAUUGGCGCUUCAGCAUUAAGCUCGAGGAGACCUUCGAUGUUGAAACGGUACGCAACGGCGACAAGUGUUUUUUCGUAAUUAAGCAUGACUUCAACUAUUUCAAUGUGUAAUUUUCAUCUUUUACAAUUCGAGUAUAGCUUAUCCCAUGCCAUGCAAGACGCUAUGUCUUGGAGAGGAUGGAUUUUGAAGACCAUGAAAAUUUUGAAACGAAGAAAAUUCACCUAAGGACCCAUCAUGAUGUGGAUUUUGAAGUAAAUCUGUAUAAUGCUGAGAGCGUAACCCAUUUUGGUUGCAAAAAUUGGGAAGCAUUUUGCAAGAUGUAUGGUUUUGAUGAGGGUAUACUUGUCACCAUGGAUCUUGGUGAUCCUGACAUUGACCAAGACAAUAUGGACAUUUGGGUCCUUGUUGAUAAGCCUCCAGUUCUACCGCUAUGUGAGUUUCUCAAACAUAGUUAAUUAUUAACUAAUUUAUAUUGUUUAUUUCAAAAUAGUUGACAGCUUAUUUCCAUUGAUAGCUUAUUUUGACUGUUCAAACAAUGUGCGGAACAUGGUAGACAAAACUCACUACACCGAUGGCUCCGAGUUAACUUAUCAGGAGAAAAAUCAUCUGGUCUGAUUUUGUACUGAUCUUGAGAAUUACAAUAUCUACAAUCAAACUCCUCAACAUUAUGGUCAAUACGUGCCAGUAGUGCAUGUGUUGAACUACGGUAACUACCAUGGAGAUACCCUGGUAAGAUUUUUUACUAUUACGACAUCCGUGCAUCUUUUGCAUACUUCUAAAACUAGUACAUCAUUGCUAACUAUGAAGUUAUUACUCCCUCUGUUCCUAAAUGUAAGUAUUUUUAGAGAUUCCACUGCAAACUACAUACGGAUGUAUAUAGACAUAUUUUAGAGCGUAGAUUCACUCAUUUUGCUCCGUAUGUAGUCAAUAGUGGAAUCUCUAAAAAGACUUAUAUUUAGGAACAGAGGGAGUACUAUGUUUUUCAACAGAGAAUCCCAGAGGAUUGUGUGCCUCAUUUGAUGUAUCAGAAUGGCAGCCUUCGUGUUUCGAACAUAUAUCCAGGUCAUCCUACGAAUCUCAACUGUCCAUACCGGAUUUCUAAAAGAAGUGGAGACAUGCUAAUCAGAGAAUGGAAAAAAUGUAUGGACAGUCGUAAGGAGGUUCUUGGAAGCAAAAGGAAGCGCCGCGCAAGAAUUAGAGACAGGAUGAUCUCCAUUCUCCAUAAUGGAGAGUCAGGGUCUAUAUUGUUUUAUGCUAUUUUACCUUAAAUAGGGUAUUUAGGUCCUGCAGAAUACUGAUGAUCAUGUGCUAAGAACAAUUAAGUAGGGUUGGUUCGAUGACUAUCAGGAUGAUGAUCGUAUGACUUGUUAUUAAUAACGAGUAGAGGUUGUAUGAUGAUGAUUAGUAGGACUUGUUAUUAUGAUGAUGCAUGAUGCGAGCAUGAAGAGUUAUUAUAUAUCUGUGGGUGAAAUGAACAUGGAUUGGAUUAAAGUGAAGGCAACAUGCAUGUGGUGCAUGUCGAAAGUAGUACAAUCCAAACUUGAUCAAGUUAGGAUUAGUAUUACUUUCGACAUGCACCACAUGUUGCCUCACUUCAAUCUAAGUCAUCUUUAGGCAUAGCAGUAGUAGUAGCACGGAGAUAAGAGAGGACACAUCUCUCUAUUAGCUACCUAUAACAACCUAAAUUAACCCCCAAAACCCCUAAACCACCUCCUUUCAAAAAAAACCAGCCCCUGAAAUGCUGACGCGUGGAAGCUUAUUGGUCCCGGUUGGUGCUACCAACCGGGACCAAAGGCCCUCCUGCCUGGGCUCGCCGGAGCAGCCACGUGGAGGCCCAUCUGUCCCGGUUGGUAUAAGAACCGGGACUAAAGGCCUAGGGCAUUAGUAACGACCCUUUAGUCCCGGUUCCCCAACCGGGACAGAUGGGCCUUAUGAACCGGGACAAAUGGCCCUUUUCUACUAGUGAAGGGACAUGUUGAUGGUUGCACUCAUGUUCAUACUUGAAGUUGCGGCAUUACAAGAUCACUGGAUUUGGCACUCAUUUUUUUGGCAUGGCAGUUUCUCACAAUCACAUCAACGUGCUUCACCGCUCAAUGGUGUUCCCGAGGAUUUCGAAAGGCAAUUCCCCAGAGGUCAACUAUGAGAUCAAUGGCCACCAAUACAACAAGGGAUACUACCUAGCUGACGGUAUCUAUCCUUCGCCGGCCCGUCCUGCUGCCGGGCGCGAGACGAGCUCGAUCCUGCUGCCGGGCGUGAGACGAGCGAUGGAACGCAACUGUGAGAGGGCCAACCCUUCGAUGAAGGUAGCGCCCGAACGACGAUGAGAGGAAUCGAAGGUCGACAAGGGCACUCACCGACCGACCGACGCCGAAGAAGUCCAGCCACCGCCGUGAAACGACCCAGACCACCGCCAUGAGCCACCACCACGCCGUGGCAGCCCACAUCCACGCCGGGACCCCGAGGGGCAGCCUCGGGCCAUCCUGCAGCAGGAAUGCCACCACCCUCGCCGCCAAAGGUCGCCGCAUGCAAGGGCCGGCCGAAGCCCACACCGCCGCCACCAGCACGAACCACCACCACCCUUGCACCGCCACCCGCUGCCGCACCACCGGACGCUGGCAACUGCCGCCCAAGCCACAGCUGCCCCGCCGCCAGUACCGCCCGCCACCACCUCGUCAGGCCUGCACCGCCAUGCCAGAUCCGCGAUGGAUCUGCACCGCCAACAUGAGACCGCCGCCCACCUCGCAACCAGACCGAAGGCCAAGCCGCGACCCUGCUGCAGCGACCCAUGACGGGCCGCCACCACCUCCCCGCACCGCCCGCAGAUCCCCAACCACCCGAGCCGCCACCACACCAGAUCUGCAGGGCACGCCGCCGCCACACAGCCUCCACAACCGCGCACCCAACCGCGUCGUCGACCCGGCCACGCGCCCCGUCGUCGCUGAGUCCUGGCCGGGCCGCCACGUCCCUCGCUGUGCGCCCCGGCAGAGGAGGAAGAAGGCCCCGCCACCGUCCACCACAAGGGGCUUUGCCCCUAGCAGUGCCUGCCAGCGGCAGGAGGAGAGCCGGGGGCGGUGGAUCCACCCAAGCUGCCCGCGGGGGAUGACGCGGGGGAGAGUUGGGCCGAAUGGCCUCUUCCAGGCCAUUAGCACCCACUUGACAAACAACUAUGCAUGUUCUACUCGCCAAUGAUUCAACAACAUAUUAACAGAAAAGACACAUCUGUGCCGACAAUGUUUAAGAUACCAGGGCGAUGAAAUUGCGGGACAGGACAGACCCUGGUCGGAAAUUUGUAUACAGCUGAAAGCCUGAAACUGCAGCAACAUCUAUCUAGUGCGCAAAGCUUUGACCGAGGGGUGAGGGCGCAGCUUUGUCUCCAGAGGUCUUUCACCUGACCGUAGGAUAACCGUCGCCCGUUGAGGAUUGCAGUGGUUGAAGCUUCAGUUUCGUCAGACUUGAAUUUCCACUCUGAAAAUGAACCACCAUACACUACUGGAAUUAGCUUAUUUGCCGUCUGCAAGUUCUUUGUCGUCUGCUGGCUGACGGCAAAGAAGGUCUUUGCCGUCCGCUUCAGGAAAACGGACGGCAACAAACUGGCUGAUGGCAAAGAAGGUCUUUGCCAUCAGCCAAUUCUUUGCCGUCCGCUAGCGGACGACAAAGAGAGAGGUGGCCCCCGCUAACGAGCUGAUCAUAAAAAACUUAACGGGCCCCCUUCUUUGCCGUCUGCCAGAAAAAAAAGCGGAUGGCAAAGGUGGGGCGGACGGCAAAGAGCUAACCUAACUAACGGCCGAGCCCCACCCCGCCCCUCGAUCUCUCUGUUUCUGUCUCCACCCCGACAACCACCGCCACCCGCCGCCGCCCCCAGCACCCGCCGCCGCCCCCUUGCCCCGCCACCCGCCCAGCUGCCGCCCCCACCACCGCCCUCAGCACCUGCCGCCGCNNNNNNNNNNNNNNNNNNNNNNNNNNNNNNNNNNNNNNNNNNNNNNNNNNNNNNNNNNNNNNNNNNNNNNNNNNNNNNNNNNNNNNNNNNNNNNNNNNNNNNNNNNNNNNNNNNNNNNNNNNNNNNNNNNNNNNNNNNNNNNNNNNNNNNNNNNNNNNNNNNNNNNNNNNNNNNNNNNNNNNNNNNNNNNNNNNNNNNNNNNNNNNNNNNNNNNNNNNNNNNNNNNNNNNNNNNNNNNNNNNNNNNNNNNNNNNNNNNNNNNNNNNNNNNNNNNNNNNNNNNNNNNNNNNNNNNNNNNNNNNNNNNNNNNNNNNNNNNNNNNNNNNNNNNNNNNNNNNNNNNNNNNNNNNNNNNNNNNNNNNNNNNNNNNNNNNNNNNNNNNNNNNNNNNNNNNNNNNNNNNNNNNNNNNNNNNNNNNNNNNNNNNNNNNNNNNNNNNNNNNNNNNNNNNNNNNNNNNNNNNNNNNNNNNNNNNNNNNNNNNNNNNNNNNNNNNNNNNNNNNNNNNNNNNNNNNNNNNNNNNNNNNNNNNNNNNNNNNNNNNNNNNNNNNNNNNNNNNNNNNNNNNNNNNNNNNNNNNNNNNNNNNNNNNNNNNNNNNNNNNNNNNNNNNNNNNNNNNNNNNNNNNNNNNNNNNNNNNNNNNNNNNNNNNNNNNNNNNNNNNNNNNNNNNNNNNNNNNNNNNNNNNNNNNNNNNNNNNNNNNNNNNNNNNNNNNNNNNNNNNNNNNNNNNNNNNNNNNNNNNNNNNNNNNNNNNNNNNNNNNNNNNNNNNNNNNNNNNNNNNNNNNNNNNNNNNNNNNNNNNNNNNNNNNNNNNNNNNNNNNNNNNNNNNNNNNNNNNNNNNNNNNNNNNNNNNNNNNNNNNNNNNNNNNNNNNNNNNNNNNNNNNNNNNNNNNNNNNNNNNNNNNNNNNNNNNNNNNNNNNNNNNNNNNNNNNNNNNNNNNNNNNNNNNNNNNNNNNNNNNNNNNNNNNNNNNNNNNNNNNNNNNNNNNNNNNNNNNNNNNNNNNNNNNNNNNNNNNNNNNNNNNNNNNNNNNNNNNNNNNNNNNNNNNNNNNNNNNNNNNNNNNNNNNNNNNACCCCGACACGCCACCCCGACACCCCGGCACGACACCCCGACCCCCGACACCCUGACAUCAUAUAUUUUUCGAUUUUGUUAUGAGAAACAUCAUAUAUAAUUGUGUUGAUCGGGUAGAUUUAAACAUCAUAUAUAUAUUUUGAUUUUGUUAUGAAAAACAUCAUAUAUUAUUAUUCAUGUCGGUAUUUUUUUAUGUUGUACUAAUUUCGUUUACUCUUUGUCAUGGCAGGUGUUGAAGAUGGUGGGCGCUGGUCGGGAGCGCUCCGAGGCCCCUUCUUCGUCGGCGCGUGGUGGGAGGUCUUCCAUUCCACACGCACCUCUCUGCCGAGCGUUGCUGGACAAUAUGGCGACACCGCCGAGCCCUUCUUCCUCGACAGCGGUGCCCAACAGGGGACGAGGUAAGGGAGGGAAGAAGAGAGGAGCACGUGGUCACGGGAGAGGAGGUAGGGUGACUGCUAGGGCGCCUUCCUCGCCGCCACCCCCAGCUGUUUCACCCGAGCACGUGACUGCUAGGGUGGACUCGUUCGAGGAGGAGGCUACACGGACUCCGGUCCACGAGCCUUUGGCCCAUAAGCCUCGGGUCAACGGGCCUUCGGCCCACGAGACCCCGGAGGAGCACACGUCUGGAUGGGGUACCUGGCCGGAUGAGCCUGAGGGGCCGAGUGGCCAUGCUGAUGAUGGCGGGGAGCCGACUGAUAUUGAGGAGGAGGGGGGCACCGUCUACCAGCGUGGUUGUACACGGCUCCCGUCCGUGCCGGCGACCCGCGAGCAGAGGUGGUUGAUUUACCCUGAUGGGGAGAGGUAAGUGCAUUUAAUCUUUUUGUACCUUCUGCAUUCACGUUUCUUCAAAUAUCUAAUGUGUUGGCCUUGUCAUGCUGUAGGGGCUGGGACCACCAUCAUAGUGUCCGCCGGCUCAACUCCGUCCUUGGAGUGCUUUGCCGGCAAAACUUCCCGGGGUUUGUCACGUUGCCUGGUGAGGGUCGGCUUCCAGAGCUUGGAUUGAGCUGGGAGCACUACUUGGCUGCCCCGGCCCCGCCGGGUGAGAUUAUCGACGGUGUCUUGUGCGACACGAGGGCAGACGUGGUGAUCAGAAAGUUCUGGGUAAUUUCUCCUUUACACAUUUAAAAAUCUUCAACUAGUUAGUUAUUAAUUGUACUAAUCAAUAUUGUCUCAUUUGAUUGCAGACAUUCUACAGGUGUGAGGAGAGAUACGAGGAGGAGGCGGCAAAUGUUAUCGAGAACGUCUGCAAGCGCCUACUACAGAACUUACGGCACGAGGCUCGGGUGCAGGCUGUUCGAGACUACUACGCCUUGCAUGGUAUCAAGAAGCCCAAGCCGGCGUGCCGCGAUAAGUUCCUAAGUAAGGAGCAGUACAUGAAGGUAAUUCUUAAGGCCUUGUACUUACUUCCUUCAUUUAGUAAUUCAUAGCCGUAGCACUCAAGUUUCUAUUUGCUAACUUAGGCGCCUCCGAGAUGGUGUGCGGAUCGGAUGGAUUGUUGGGAGGUGUUGGUCAAUGAGUGGUGCUCAAAAGAAUGGCUAGCCGUCCACAAUGCGGCCAAGGACAAACGUGCCCAAAUGGAAGGUGUGCCACACCAUCAAGGCAGCUCCAACUUAUAUCAGUUCGGGCGAAACUGGGUAUGUGAUUUGCUUCAUGAUUCAUGCAAUUCAUUCAUCAUGCUAGCUUGAGCCCUUUAAUUACUAAUUUACUUUGUUUCUCUCUUUCAGGCACGCUACAAUAAGGCGGAUAAGGUGCCAGAGGUGUACGACCUGUAUGCCAUGGCCCACACUGCCUCUUUUAAGAAAGUCAAGGCAUUCUCUCCGUCUGACCUCGAUGAUGUUGGAAAUAUGCCCUAGAGGCAAUAAUAAAUUGGUUAUUAUUAUAUUUCCUUGUUCAUGAUAAUCGUUUAUUAUCCAUGCUAGAAUUGUAUUGAUAGGAAACUCAGAUACAUGUGUGGAUACAUAGACAACACCAUGUCCCUAGUAAGCCUCUAGUUGACUAGCUCGUUGAUCAAUAGAUGGUUACGGUUUCCUGACCAUGGACAUUGGAUGUCGUUGAUAACGGGAUCACAUCAUUAGGAGAAUGAUGUGAUGGACAAGACCCAAUCCUAAGCCUAGCACAAGAUCGUGUAGUUCGUUUGCUAAGAGCUUUUCUAAUGUCAAGUAUCAUUUCCUUAGACCAUGAGAUUGUGCAACUCCCGGAUACCGUAGGAAUGCUUUGGGUGUACCAAACGUCACAACGUAACUGGGUGGCUAUAAAGGUUCACUACAGGUAUCUCCGAAAGUGUCUGUUGGGUUGGCAUGAAUCGAGACUGGGAUUUGUCACUCCGUGUAAACGGAGAGGUAUCUCUGGGCCCACUCGGUAGGACAUCAUCAUUAUGUGCACAAUGUGACCAAGGAGUUGAUCACGGGAUGAUGUGUUACGGAACGAGUAAAGAGACUUGCUGGUAACGAGAUUGAACAAGGUAUCGGGAUACCGACGAUCGAAUCUCAGGCAAGUACUAUACCGAUAGACAAAGGGAAUUGUAUACGGGAUUGAUUGAAUCCUCGACAUCGUGGUUCAUCCGAUGAGAUCAUCGAGGAGCAUGUGGGAGCCAACAUGGGUAUCCAGAUCCCGCUGUUGGUUAUUGACCGGAGAGUCGUCUCGGUCAUGUCUGCAUGUCUCCCGAACCCGUAGGGUCUACACACUUAAGGUUCGGUGACGCUAGGGUUGUAGAGAUAUUAGUAUGCGGUAACCCGAAAGUUGUUCGGAGUCCCGGAUGAGAUCCCGGACGUCACGAGGAGUUCUGGAAUGGUCCAGAGGUAAAGAUUUAUAUAUGGGAAGUCUUAUUUUGGUCGCCGGAAAAGUUUCGCGCAUUAUCGGUAUUGUACUGGGAGUGCCGAAAGGGGUCCGGGGGUCCACCAGCCCCGGGGGGCCACAUGGGCUGUAGGGGUGUGCGCCUUGGCCUAUAUGGGCCAAGGGCACCAGCCCCAAGAGGCCCAUGCGCCAAGAGAUAAGGGAAAGGGAGAGUCCUAAAGGGGGAAGGCACCUCCGAGGUGCCUUGGGGAGGAUGGACUCCUCCCUGGCCACACCCUUCCUUGGAGGAAGGGCCAAGUCUGCGUCCCCCCCUCCCUUGGCCCUAUAUAUAGUGGGGGGAGGGAGGGCAGCAAUACCCAAGCCCUGGCACCUACCUCUCCCUCCCGUGACACAUCUCCCUCCUCCCGCAGCGCUUGGCGAAGCCCUGUUGGAAUCCCGCUACUUCCACCACCACGCCGUCGUGCUGCUGGAUCUCCAUCAACCUCUCCUCCCCCCUUGCUGUAUCAAGAAGGAGGAGACGUCGCUGCUCCGUACGUGUGUUGAACGCGGAGGUGCCGUCCGUUCGGCGCUAGGAUCAUCGGUGAUUUGGAUCACGACGAGUACAACUCCAUCAACCCCGUUCUCUUGAACGCUUCCGCUCGCGAUCUACAAGGGUAUGUAGAUGCACUCCUUCCCUCUCGUUGCUAGUAAACUCCAUAGAUUGAUCUUGGUGAUGCGUAGAAAAUUUUGAAUUUCUGCUACGUUCCCCGACAGAUGAUGCAAACAACUUCACCAACAUCUCCUCCCACGACAAGCUCGUGAAAUAUAGAGAUGAGGGGAAGGCGAGGAAAGGGGAGGCCUUUAACCCGAGCCAGGGUCCCAUUGAUCCAGAGCUGGUGAUGAUAUCUGGUGGCGGGAGGUCCCAUGGCUCCAUAGCCAUUGGAGAUGGACUUAUCCGUUGUCCUAGCACUCUCCCGGAGAUCAAGGCGCGCCAGUCGAGCUCCGCUCCUGAGAUAAGGCCUCGUGAACGGCCAGUCCAACUCGCCAUCAAGGUUAGUUAUACGUACUCAGCUAUCUUUCUCCAUUACAUUGUGUGUGCUUCCAUCAAUGAUUACAAAUGGUAACGAGGAGUGGUGUUGCAGGCUGCUAUACAGAGUGAGAGAGAUAGAACGGAGAAUCUUCUGGCGGAGGCGGUGGAGAGGCAGCGGGAGUUGGAGGAGAGGACGACAAAGAUGUUGGAGGAGGAGAGGGCACGGAAUGACAUGCAGGCAAGGGCCAUGUACGAGCUCCUUGUGGUAAGUUUCUUCUGCAGAUUAGCCAAAACAUUUAUGCAAUGUUUGUCUCAUUACUAACUAGUAUGACUGAGUCGUCAAAACCAAAUGUGCAGUCUGUGUGCGAGAAGACCGGUCAGACCGCUCCGCCGAUGCCAGUGAUUGCUCCUGGGACCACGGUGAGUUUAAUUUGAAUGGACAUUACUUGCUAGUCUUAACAUUUGAGUGUCAUCAUGCUAACGAGACAUUGGAAAUGAUCUUUGGUGCAGCGUAACUCCAGACAAGCAUCGCACGAUCCUUCUCCAGCUACCGGCACGAGCCAGCUCGCUCCUACACCUCCAUGAUCAUGGUAAGUUUCUCUAGUGUUUUGCUUAACAAAUGCAUAAAGACCUAGACUUAGCCUUAUUUCCUCCAAUAUGCUUACCACAAUGACCUAGACUUAGCAUAAUUAGCUUAGUUAGCUCAUAAACAAUCCAUUUUACCCAAGUUAGCUCUAAAAUGACCCAUUUUACCUUAGUUAGCUCAUAAAUGAUCAAUUUUACCCAAGUUAGCUCUAAAAUGACCCAUUUUACCUAGACUAGCUCCAAAAUAAUCCAUUUUACCUAUGUUAGCUCUAAAAUGACCCAUUUUACCUAGGUUAGCUCCAAAAUGACCCAUCUUACCUAGGUUAGCUCCAAAAUGAUGCAUUUUACCCAACUUAGCUCUAAAAUGACCCAUUUUACCUAGAUUAGCUCAUAAACGAUCCAUUUCACCUAGGUUAGCUCACAAACGAUCAAUUUCACCUAAAUUAGCUCAUAAAUGUCAUAUAUUCUUCUUCUUUUUCAUUUUCUUCUUCUUCUUCUUCUCCAAAAUGACAUAAGUUAGCUAUAAGUUAGCUCUAAUAUGCUUAGUUCACUCAAAGAUGGCAUAAUUAGCUAGGUUGGCUCCAUUUUACCUAAGUUGGCUCUAAUAUGCUAAGUUAUCUCUACUAUGCUUAGUUUCCUAUAGGUUAGCUCCAAAAUUACUUAUGUUAGCACAAAAUGACCAAGUUUACAUAAUAAGCUUAAUUAUAGUCUUCUUCUUCUUCUUCUUCUCCAAAAUGACAUAACUUAGCUCUAAUAUGCUUAGUUCACUCAAAGAUGGCAUAAUUAGCUAGGCUGGCUCUAUUUUACCUAAGUUGGCUCUAAUAUGCUAAGUUAUCUCUAAUAUGCUUAGUUUCCUAUAGGUUAACUCCAAAAUUACUUAUGUUAGCACAAAAUGACCAAGUUUAUAUAAUAAGCUUAAUUAUAGUCUUCUUCUUCUUCUUCUUCUUCUUCUUCUUCUAGUAUUCUUCUAGUCUUCUUCUAGUAUUCUUCUAGUCUUCUUCUUCUUCUUCUUCUUCUUCUUCUUCUUCUAGAUUAGCUCCAUUUUACUUAAGUAUGCUUACUUCUUAUAGUCUUUUUCUUCUUCUUUUUCUUCUUCUUUUUCUAACAUCUUGUUUAUCAUUUUGCAGAUUUGAUUUAAUUCACGAAAGCUUGCAUGGAUGGAGUGCUUCUUUUCCAUUUGUGCUUUUAUAGAUGGAGUGCUUGUUUGGAUGAACUAUGUUUCUUUUGUAUCGAUGAACUAUGCAUGUAUGGUAGGAUGACACUAUCGUAAUAUGUAUGGUUGGAUGCAUGUAUGUGGAACUUGCUAUGUAUGGUUGAUGGAACUAUGCAUGUAUGAUGAAAUUAUAUGUGUUGGAUAUCUCAUAUGUUUGCUGUGAACUUGCCAUGUGAAAAAUAUAUAUGUAUCAUCUAUUGCUGUGAAAAUGGUUGGGUAUAAGAAAAAACAGAAAAAAGAGGCAAUGCAGGCUCUUUGCCGUCUGCCACCGACGGCAACGGGCUCUUUGCCGUCCGCCGCGGACGGCAAAGAAGCCACGUGGCAACCACCUGUGCUUCCUGGCAGCUGACCCAUUUGGUCAGUUUGCCUACAGUGGCAGACAGCAAAGGCUUGACAUCAGCGGCGGACGGCAAAGGCUGCCGUUAGACGCCUAACGGACUAACAGCGAAUUUAUUGCCGUCGGCUUUCUUUGCCGUCCGCCGCUGAUGGCAAAGGCCCUUUGCCGUCCGCUUCAGAAAGCAGACGGCAAAGAAGCUCUUUACCGUAGCCUACUUUGCCGGAGCCUUUUGCCGUGCGCCAUCCUUGCCUUUGCCGUCUGCCGGAUGGCAAAGUAGCUGAUUCCUGUAGUGAUACCUGCAUCUUUGACUUUCUUAUGGGCGCAAAUGAGAUUGUGAGAACGACAACCACAACUCUGCUCAAAGACAACCAGCAAUGUAUUUCCCAAAACACCCUGAACUUGCUUUUACAGAUUAUUACAAUUCCUCUACUAACCUAGUACUGUAGACAUCAUUAACUCAACUAGUAAUAAUGUAUUCCCUCCGUCCCAUAAUAUAAGAACGUUUUUAACACUACACUGUCAAAAUCCCCAGCUCCUGAAUCACUGCUAUGAUUACCACGCCAUCCAAGUGCAGUAUAAGCAUCAGUCAUGCAAACCAUACCUGCUAGUUUACUGAAACUGAAAUUAUCAGGGAACUCGUGAACCAUCCCGACUUGCUUGCAUACUGCAGGUCAGGCUUCCAUUACCUACAAUACCGCAGCAUUUUCUAGGGAAGCAGUUACCCACAACUUGAACUCUUCUCUAGAGAAUUUUGGUUCAUGAGGCCUUUCAUUCAAAGCUUCCUAUACACUCACUUCCCUCUGGGAACGCAAGUAAAACACUGACCUUGUACAGCUAGGAAUCAACAAGUUCCUGGAGGACAGUCUGACUGACAACAAAUUACACCUGCCCAGAUUCUCUAAGGAUUCAUUCCAAAGCUUGCCCAGAUCUCUAGUGGCUAAGACAGUCUGUGCCACUUCCUACUCACUUCAUUCACUGCCACUCAAUGUAAAAUAUUUGGAGACCAUGACAUCUCUAAUGCAACCGAUACAGAGGAGCUAACCGCAGUUCCCUCCACAUUUUCUCAUCCGGGCUUGGGACCGGCAAAGGCAGUGUUAAACUACUCCUACUUACACACAAAAAACGGCAAACACUACAAACAAUUAUAUUCAGCUAAGCAUACAAGCCACGCAAUCAACAAAGGCUUGGCACGACACAUGAUUGGCAAUAAAUAUUCACGCAACAUUUUCACAAGAUCAUAAGACAGACGGGGCACAAACAAAGAAUGCCAUAAAUUCCAGAACCUGAAUGGGAGUAACUAAUUUAUCUAGUGGAAUGAGCGUGAUUCAAAUCUUCUGCACAGAGAAAGCUUUCGUAGUUUUAUGCCAUUAUAGGGUCAGAGGACCAUAAGAUGUGUGAACAGAUACUUCCGUGUCUUUAAAAUCUAUAUAGGAUUGUAUUAUGUAGUAUGAAACAGAAUGGGUCUGUCUAAGUUUCAAUUUAAGAAUAUGUAGUCGGCAGGAAUCAUCAAAUUAGUACUUUGCUAGUUACCAACUAAAUUAAAACUAGGAAGUUGCCAGAAAAGUAAGGACAUGUAAUUAAAGAGAAUUAUGUGGUUAGAAUCCAGAUCAAAUUAGCAGUUCGCCAGAAAAGAAGGUCAAUUAGCCAUUAGAGGACCAUAAGAUGCGUGAACGCUAUGAAAUUAUAGAUUCAUAUAUUUAACAAUAUGUAUGAAGAUUCCAUAAUCCAUAACAAAUUAGCUGUUCGGCGGAAAAGAAGGUCAAUAGCCAUUGAGGACCAUAAGAUGUGUGAACAUAUGAAAUUAUUAUAGAUUCAGUAAGUAUGUAAUGGAAGAUUUCAUAAUAUAGAUAAAAUUAGCCAUUGGAGGACCAUAGAGAUGUGUGAGCGCUGUUUCUUUAAAUCCAGGAUGAAUGAAGUAGGAAACAAAUUUCCAUAUGUCGAAAGUAAUCAGCAGGAUUCAUCAUCAAAUUAGCCAGAGUGUUUAGGGAUCAUCAAAUGCCAGACUGUUUUGCUAGGAAGUUCCCCAGCAAACCGAGAAGAUGCAUGGAAGAAUCCAGAUCUCACUGGAGAAGCACCAAUGAGAAGAACAUCACUGAAAAUCAACUCCAUACCAACAAAUCAGAAUCAUAUUCAGUGGACAUGAGUGGAGUGUUCAGGGCAAAAUAUUUGUUCAAGCCUCCAGUUCAGAACCUUCAACUCUCCAUUGUUUUAGUAUAUGUAUAUAGCAAUAACUCCUAACCUCUUCCUGUAUACCAAGUCAUCAAUAUUACCAAACUACAGGGGGCCACUACUGUUAAACCAACACAAGUGCGAGGGUGGGAUCUUUCUUUAUCACCAAAGUUAACAAUAUGUGCACACCAAAAUUUGAUUUUGUGCCAUAAGAAGAACCUAAAGAACGUAUAUAAACAAACCAAGUACAAUCAUGGACAAGAGUAUGUAGAAUAGUAGACUGACAAAUCCACGUAUGACCAAUUCACAUAUAUUCAUAUAAUAUGCUUAACAUUUUUACUGCAUUCAGAGCUCAUGUACAUGCGAUCUUUACUUCCUAUUAGGUGACAAAUUUGCAAGUUGAAAGAUACAAGCAGCCAAAUACCAAAACCAAACUUCAUGAAACAGUAUGGUAACCAGGUAAUUAAUAGCCAAGUCAAACUUUGAUAAUCUGCUAUACAAACUGAGUACGAACUGAUAUUUCCAUUUUGGACCCUUGUUUGAGACUUCUAGCAUUUUCUUGAUUCGAGCAAAAGAUAAGAUCAUAUUCCAUCCAAACCACAUGCAAGUUGAAUAAGAUACCGUAACCAGUAGGAUGGCACAACAGAAACCAAGUAAGAUGCUUCAGGACAGUUGAAAGAAUCAUCAGAUGUGCACACUACUAACUCCAAGCUGCACCAAAGAUAUGAGGCCACUGAAUGCAAGUUCAAACUGAAAACUACCACAAAGACCAAAUCAUUAUGCUUCAGGAUCAGUAAUCAGAGGUCAAAACCAUCAGGGAAGUCCAUUUGCUACACCAAGUCCCCGCGCUAACUGACUAUCCAACUCUACAAUCUUGCAAUAAAACCUCCAACAAUGCAAAUCAACCCAAAUAUAAUCAGCAUACUUAAAAGUUCUUCAAGGAAAGUCAGACCAUAGUGAAAUCUGGUAAAUAGUUGAAACAGGCAUAGAGUCCAGGUGUAAGUUUUUGUGGUUGAAGAAGAUUCCGAACGAAUCGAAGAACUUAAUGUAUAGCCACUCAAAUCUGACGUCACCAAGCACAGAUGAGGAAUCCAGUAAACCAAUGUGACGAAACAUGAAACUGACCUGCCUCGAGUCCCCUCCACCAUACGUUCACAACCCACAAGGAGCUUUACUUCCAGACCAGAUCAAGAUCCAGUCCUGCAAGCCAAAUUGUAGAGGCGGCGAUAACAAAUGAAACAAACAGACCGUCUACGAGACACUGACCUGACUCCAUGUACAGAGCAAAGGUUUGGGCCCAAACUCCUAAUAAAAAUUAUAUAUUGCCAACCCACACACGCAGAAGACCAAUAAAACAGGGAUCAAGAGUUUAGUCAUUGCCCACAUGGCCUGGGCUAAAGAAAAAUCUGCAACCAUAGGAAGGGCAGGGGCAAAAACCUAUGUCAGAGAGAUGGCCAAGUAACUAAAUGAAAUUAAAAAAAAGGAAGGUAAGAGUCUUUUUCGGUUGUAGGAUGUGCCAUUAGUAGGCUCUAGAUCAUCUUAUAUAUUCGUGCUGCAUAUGAAUCUGUAUUUAAAAAUUGUCUAGUAAGAUAAUUUAUAGGUUAUGUAAGUUGCAAUGAAUUGAAACGACACUGUAGAUUUCGAAGAUCAGUAGACGGAUUCAUCAUCAGGCUGGACAGGAGUUUGUCAACUACAACCUGCAGUGAGCAAGACACCGUUUCUAUAAAAAAAAUUGUUAGGGGAAAUGCUUCUUAUAAAUAGCUAAAGCAUGGAUGAUUGAGUGGGAACAAGUAAAGCCUGUCUAGGGUCAGGUAUGGAUGAUGGAGGACAACAACGCAGGUUCCAAACUGCAGUUAUAUCCUUUCCAAGUCAGUAUCUGCAAGAGCUGAUAAUUACUAAGGCAAAGAAAACCUAAUGUCUAGAGAGUUCAAUUAUAGAGUAAAAAAGGUUGAGAAAGUUUUUAGCCACAGAAGGAACCGCCAUGCCGAGGAAAAAUAGGACGCCUUCUAAGCCAUAUUAUUCCAAUUUCUGGAGAGCCACCAAGAAAUAGUUUAAAUCAGAAUUGUGGGAAACCAAAACAGAACAGUGGAGAUGAAAGAGUAAAACAGAGGAAGUGAUAAUUAUCCAAACACAGAGCAGCAAGAUGCGUCGCUCCCGCUACGCCAUAUAAUUCCAAUUUCUGGAGAACCACCAACAUAUCCAAAUAUAUCCUGCACAUAGGCCCAGACUUCCUAAAUAUAUCCUGCAACUGAUACACGCAGAAGACCAGGGAUCAAGAGUACAAACAACAAAUCGAUCCAGAGAGAGAGAGAUAGAUCGCAAACCAAACGAUUUUAACAGAUUCCAACUCACUACCAGCAUGGUUUGGGCUUAAUCUGCAACCAAAGGGAGGGCAGAAGGAAAAACCUAAAUCAAAGACAUGAACAAGUAGCAUAAGAGGUGAGUUAAAACUGGAGCACUCUUUUUCAUUGUAGGAUGUUCCAUUAGUUUGAAUCUCCAUUGUUGAACCUUGGCAGAUAAUUCUGAAUUCAAAAUAUUGUCUGGUAAGAUAAUUUUGAAGGCUGUCUAAGUUCUGAUGAAUUGAGAAAAUAAUAGAUUUAGAAGAACUGCAAACGGAUUCAAGUCAGCAUCAGGUUGGACGAGUCAUCAACUAUGGCCUGCAACGAGGGAGAUACCUUUCUAUAAGUUAUAAGAGGAAAACUAGGCUCAGCUAAAGCAAGCAUCAAAUGUUGAGGUAAAGGGUAAGUAAGCCUGUCUCGGCUGGAAAGUCAGGUAGACAACACUGGUUCCAAUUAUUUCGCUCCCAAGUCAGCAUCUGCAAGAGCUGAGAAUUACCAAUCAAGGCAAAGAAACUAACAUUUGAAAGUUCAAUUAUCAAGGGAGGAUAAAAGGUCGGAUAUGUUGGGCCACAGAAAGAACCGCCAUGCCUUGGAAAGAUAGGACCACCCGCUAAGCCAUAUAAUUCCAAUUUCUGGAGAACCAGCAAAAAUUCUAAAUCAGAAUCGUCGGGCAACUACUUGAGCUAUGGAGAAGAACUUAAACAGAGAGAGUAAUGAUCAUCCAAGUGCAGGUCAGCAAGAAGAUAGGUCGCUCCCGCUAAGCCAUAUAAUCCCAAUUUCUGGACAACCAGCAACAGAUCCAAAUCAGAAUUGUCGGAGACUAAAAUUGAAUUGAGAAGGAAUUAAAUAGAGGGGUUCGUAAUCAUCCAAAUGCAGAUCAGCAAGAAGAUAGGUUGCUCCUCCUAAACCUUACGAAGCCCAAUUUCUGAAAACCACAAACGAAUACAGAUCAGAACUGCCAGGACUAAAUUGUACUGCGCAAACCAAAUAAAUUGAAUCGGGACAGAAUUCAUUAUCCAAACGCUGAUCGCAAGUUCUAGGUUCCAAAACUUCAUUAUCCAACCAAUCAAAAUGAUGAACAGAAACCAAAUCUCCACCAAUUAACCUCAAUUUCUGGAAAACCACAAACGAAUACAGAUCAGAACUACCAAGGGCUAAGUUGUAUUGUGCAAACCAAAUAAAUUGAAUUGGGACGGAAUAUAUAUUAUCCAAACGCAGAUCACAAGUUCCAGGUUGGUAAGAGAUCCAAAGCUUCAUUAUCCAAUCAAUCAAAAUGACGAACAGAAACCAAAUCUCCCCUAUGAUUCAUCUGUGCAGAACUACUACACUCCUGCAUCUGCUGCAAGCAAAGGAGCACAAACACACACCAAAAACGCGAUCAGCUGCUACAAUAAGAAUCCACCAGGACCUCUCUAAUCCACCUCAUAUUAGCUGAUGAUGAAGAAACAUGUGAUGAGAACCAGGAGACCACACAGGCGAUAGCCAUUCAAACCUGACCUGCUCAAAUCCCCUUAACAUACAACACCACAGGGAUCUCCACAUUCCAGAUCCAAUCCUGCAACCAAUGUGUGGAGGAACAGAACUAAACCAAACAAACCGUUGAUAGAACACUGACCUGACUCACUGUACAGAGAUUUUGCUCAUAAGCACAAACUUCCUAAAUAUGGCCUGCAGCCGACAGGAUAAGAGUACAUAUAACAAAUCGAACCGCAUAGAGGUAGAUUGCAAACCAACCAAUUUUAACAGAUUUCGACUCGCUACCAAGUACCAACACGCUCUGGGCUAAAAUAAAUCUGCAAUCACAGGGGGGCAGAAGCAAAAAAGCCUAAAUCAAAGGCAUGAACAAGUAGCUACGUGAAAUAAAAAUAAGAGGCAAGAGUUAAAAAUGGAGAAGAGUCUUUCUGUUGUAGGAUGUGCCAUUAGUUUGAAGCUCCAUUCUUGCGCCUUUGCAGAUGAAUCUGAAUUUAAAAUAUUGCCUAGUGAGAAGAUCUUAAAGGUCAUCUAAGUAAUAAUGAAUUGAUUGGAUUUAGAAGAACUGCAAACAAAUUCAACUCCGCAUCAGGUUAGACUUUGCGUUUGUCAAACCUGCAACGCAUGCCGAGGCUCAGCUAAAGCAUGCUUCAAAUGAGGAGGUAAAAGUUAUAAGAAAGUCUUGUCUGGGAAGGUCAGGUAGACAGCACCGGUUCCAAUUAUAUCCCUUCCAAGACGAUGUCUGCAAGAGCUAAGAAUUGACAAACUAAGGCAGAGAAAACUUGUCUGGUGUGUUCUAAUAAUAAUUAUAUUAUUGAGUAAGAAAUACUGUUGAGCCACAGAAAAGGAACCGCCAUGCCGAGGGAAAAGAGGACCACUCGCUAAGCCGUAUAAUUCCAAUUUUCUGGAGUACGAGCAACAAAUCCAAAUCAGAAUUGUGUGGAGACUAAUUGAACCAUGGAGGAAAGGAAAUAAACAGAGAGAGAAUGAUCAUCCAAACACAGGUGAGGAAGAAUGACAAGUCGCUCCCAGUAAGCCGUAUAAUCCCAAUUUCUGGACAACCAUCAACAAAUCUAAAUCAGAAGCGACUAAGAUUGAACUGUGUAGAUGAAGGAAGUAAAUAGAGGGGGUAAUAAUAAUCAUCCAAACGCAGAUGUUGCUCCCGCUAUGCCGUGUAAUCCAAUUUAUAAUUUCUGGAGAAGCAAAGAAUUCAGAUCAGAAUUGUUGCCGUUGACUACUGUGCAGACCAGGAAACUGAAGUUGGGAGGGAUUUAAUCAUUUAUCCAAACGCAGAUCGCUGGUUCCGGUUGGUAAGAAAUCCUAGGCUUCAUCACACGAGAAGAUCUGAACCUAUCAGGAUAACCGCUGAUCCGUAACCAAUCAGAAUAACCGCUCAACCGUAACCAAUCAUCAAUCAGAAUAACCAUGAAAAGAAAUCAAACCUCCACCUCUGAAGAACUAGCGCGCCCUCUGGAUUCCUCUGCAUCUAGGGUGAGAGCACAAGACAUAACAAAACCGAGAUCAGCCGGUACAACAAGAAUCCUCCACGAGGGCCUCGAAUUAAUACACCUCGUACCAACGGAUGAUACGGAAUAAACCACAGCGGUCGGGGAACCAGAAGAUCGCAAACUUUUGAAAUCUGGAAUCACGGAUGAACGCAGAGGAAGCGGUCUGAACGAGCACGGGAAACUGACCUUGCCUCGGCCUCCGGCUCCACAAUCAGAGCUCCAAUUCCAAAAACCAGGCUCGACGAUCCUGCAACCAACGCGCGCGGAUGCGGACACGAAUACGAGGAACACAGGAUCCACGGUUGCAAACAGAAGCGGACACGCGACUCUGAGAUAGACUCGCAAACCAAAAUGAAUGAAUCCCCGAUCGAUCGCUUCCCGGGCUCGCCGGAUUGGAAUACCCUGCGAGCACAGCAAGGCAACGGCGACGGCGAGUGAAAUCAAAUCAAACGCGAUUCGAAACGAAUCGGGAAUUGAUGGACAAGGGGGUGGAAACAGUCGCCGAGGCGCGAGGAGGCGGCUCGGGCGAUCGAGGGCGGAGGCCCGGCCGGAACGAAAGCUCCAAAGGAGAAGAGAGGAGGGCAGAGCGCGGGGUGGAGGGGGCGCGCCUGUGGCGCCUUUUGUAGCCGGCGCAGAGGCGGUGCGGGAGGGGGAACCAACCGAUUCCUUACCGGACACGGCUUCGCCUCGCUGGCGUGCCCGGCCGCGGGUUAUCAGGUGGGCGGCGGAAAUCAAACGGGAGAGGAGCUGGUGAGACCGGGCUGGAAUCCGGGCUUGGUUCGGUUCGGUUCGGGUGGGGCGGCUGGCAGGUCGGCAAAGCACCGGGUUGGGACGUGGGCCGCACCGACGGAACGCGAAAUUUCUAGGCUGCUCGCUGCUCUCGGGGGUUGCGACGGGCCAUGUGAUGUGAGAUGCCGUGUGUGGCUGCCGUUGGUUGCUGACCGUGUCCGCGAGUGCGAGCCGCGACGAACGCGUGGAUGGGAUGAGAACGUGGAACAGGCGGUGCCGUGGAUGAGAACGUGGUCCGCGGAAAUAUCUGCCGUGUUUACACAAUCAACGUGCUCGCUAGCUUUUUUAUUUUUUAUUAUUUUUAGAAAAUGAUAAAGAAACAAACCCUAAGAGCAACACCAACCCGCCGACCCAAACGGAUUGCGCUUUUACCCGUUUUUUGUUUGUUUGGGUCGGUCUGGCGGACACCCAUGUCCGCUUUCGCGUUGGGGUCGCCGCUUGCGCUCAACAUUGGCCCGAUCCAUUUUUCAGCCGGCGCGGACAAGAAAAAAUCCCGCAAACAUUUUAAAAAAUAAAAACGUUAAUUAAACAUUAAUGACAGCCACAAAGGUCAGCGAGAGUCCAUGAGUCCACUAUUACAUUAAGUAAAAUAUUAAAUGACACUACAAACUACUAGGAGGCGCGCUGCCCUAGGCGUCCUCGUCAUCCUCGUCGGGGCCGGUGAGGUCGAUGGGCGUCGGCGCCGGGCCAGCCCACGGGAAUGCCGUCGACCAGGACAUCGUCCGCCGCCGGCUACGCUGGCCCACUGCGGGCAAGGCACACCUCCUCCUCCGCGUCGCGCUCCAGCUGCUCGAGGUACUCGCCCUCGCGGCGCUCCUCGGCCGGCCUCUGCUGCCGCCAUUGCUCGAGGUACGCCUGCUCCUGCGCCGGCAUCGCCCCCAACCAGACCGGUGACGCGCUGACCCACUGGUGCACCACCCCAGUCCAUGAGUAGCGCUCGACGGGGGACAGCGUGUAACGCCCAUGAUGCGGCUAUAUCUCCCACGUGUCGGGGCACGACUUAGAGGCAUAACCGCAUAGUGGUUUUGUCGCAAGAAGGGUCAUCUUCACACAAUCCCAUGUAAUGAACAAGAAUGGGAUAAGGAGUUGGCUUACAAUCGCCACUUCACACAAUACAUAAAUAUCAUUCAUACAUCAUCCAAAUAACAAUCAUUUAGACCGACUACGGUCAAAAUCCAGAUGAAAAUAAGACAACCCUAAAUGCUAGAUCCCCGAUCGUCCCAACUGGGCUCCACUACUGAUCAUCAGGAAAAGACACAUAAUAACGACCACGUUCCUCGUCGAACUCCCACUUGAGAUCGACGCCAUCGUCUGCACUGGCAUCGUCGGCACCUGCAACUGUUUUGGUAGAAUCUGUGAGUCACGGGGACUCAGCAAUCUCACACCCGCGAGAUCAAGACUAUUUAAGCUUGUAGGACAAGGAGGAGUAGAGAGGUGGAGCUGCAGCGGCAAAAGCAUAUAUGGUGGCUAACUUGCGUAAAAGAGAGCGAGAAGAGAAGCAAAGGAACGGACGUCAUCUAGCAAUGACCAAGAAGUGAUCCUGAACACCUACUUACGUCAUACAUAACACAGACCGUGUUCGCUUUCCGGACUCCGCCGAGAAGAGACCAUCACGGCUACACACGCAGUGGAUGUAUUUUAUUUGGGUCAAGUGACAAGUUAUCUACAACCGGACAUUAACAAAUUCCCAUCUGCCUCAUAACCGCGGGCACGGCUUUCGAAAGAUAAUACCCUGUAGGGGUGUCCCAACUUAGCCCAUCAUAAGCUCUCACGGUCAACGAAGGAUAAACCUUCUCCCGGAAAGACCCGAUCAGUCUCGGAAUCCCGGUUUACAAGACAUCUCGACAAUGGUAAAACAAGACCAGCAAAGCCGCCCGAAUGUGCCGACAAAUCCCGAUAGGAGCUGCACAUAUCUCGUUCUCAGGGCACACCGGAUUGUCCAAGCUUCCGAUAGGCCAGUCCAGAGUUGCCCCUGGUGGCCACCGGCGACUGACAGUUUGGACCAAUACUCAGAGGAGCACUGGCCCGGGGGUUUAAAAUAAAGAUGACCCUCGGGCUCUAGAAAACCCGGGGGAAAAAGGUAUAGGUCGCAAAUGGUAAAACCAAGGUUGGGCCUUGCUGGAGGAGUUUUAUUCAAGGCGAACUGUCAAGGGUGUCCCAUAAAUCACCCGACCGCGUAAGGAACGCAAACUCAAGGAACAUAAUCCCGGUAUAACAGUAACUAGGGCGGCAAGAGUGGAACAAAACACCAGGCAUAAGGCCGAGCCUUCCACCCUUAACCAAAAUAUAUAGAUGCAUUAAUUAAAUAAGAGAUAUUGUGAUAUCCCAACAUAUCCAUGUUCCGACAUGGAACAAACUUCAACUUCACCUGCAACUAGCAACGCUAUAAGAGGGGCUGAGCAAAAGCGGUAACAUAGCCAAACAACGGUUUGCUAGGAGAGGAUGGUUAGAGGCUGACAUGGCUAAAAUGGGAGACAUGAUCUAGCAAGUGAUAGGUAGCGGAGCAUGGCAAUAGAGCGAACAACUAGCAUGGCAAAGAUAGAAGUGAUUUCGAGGGGUGGUCAUCUUGCCUGCAAGAUUCUCAGAGUUGUCGAAAGCUUGAUCCUCGUAAGCGUACUCGACAGGUUCCUCGUUCACGAACUCGUCUCCCGGCUCUACCCAAGACAAGAACACAAACAAACGGAACCACAAUCAACAACGAGAAAUGCGCAAGCAACAUGACGCAAAACAUGUAUGAUAUGCAAGAUAUGAUAUGCGAUGCGUAUGCGUGCUCCGGAAGGAAAAAGAUGAACAUGGCAGUAACUUGGCAAACCAAGCAUGCCACUGGAAAGAUGAGAUGAUUUCGGUCGAAAUCGAUAUAAGGAUCACCGGAAUCGGAUGCACGGUUUGCAAAUGGCAAGCAAAACAGGAAUGACACGAAUCUGCGAUUAACAGCAUGAUAGCACUCAAAAUGCAACAAGUAACAAUGCUACAGCACCCCAACAUAGCAAAAAAGCACAUGGAAGUAAUCUACAGGAGAUGCUUGACAAAAGAUGAACAACAUAUCAAGUUCACAACAUAUCAAGUUCAAACAAGCAUGGCAAAAGUGCAAAAGAUUACAGGUUCACAGACUUGGUGAAAAACUGGACAUGGCAGAAAACAGCAUCAGGUAGCAAUGUUCAGAGCACGAAAUCAACAUGCUACAGGAACUUAACAUAGCAACACAAGGCAUGGUAGUGUUUUACUAAAUGCAUAUGACAAAAGUCCCUUACUGACCAUAAGCCAAAAAGGACCAGAAGAUAUGAUGGCAAGCAUGUAAACAUAGCAAGUUUCGUUAUCAGGUUUCAGACUUAGCAGAAAACAGAGCAUGGCAGGAAUAUUAAUAUGUAGGCCUCUUUGUGAGCUUGAUGCACUCACUACAGAGCAAUGCAUGACAAACCAAGCAUACCUACAGCAAGAUGGCAUGUUUAUGAAGCUAUCCAUGGAAAGAACAAUUGCAUAGCAUAUAUGGAUCAACUACAAUAAGCUUGGCAAAAAUGCAUGUCAUGUUAAGAAUCUGCCAGAAAUAUUUUAUAGCAAAAGUAGAGCAAGAUUGAGUCAUGCUAUGGCACUCCAUAAUUGCAAACAAUUGCAGGAAUGGAUCAAUUACAAUUAUAGCUACAAAACAUCCUUACUGAACAUCUCCAAAAUAUGCAUGGAUCUCUCUGUAGCAUCAAGUUUACAUGGCAACAAAAUUACAGCAGACGAGCAUUAAGUCCCUGAAAUCAGAAUUAUUACGGGGCCUACUUUGCAUGCUUGUUCUAGUCACCACAGAGAUCACAAAAAUACAUGGACUACAUCACUGGAAAGAUGGCAUGGCAUACUUCAAAACACAUAUAGAGCUCAUGCUCAAAAGAUGCACAGAUUUAAUGAUACAAAAAUGACAAAUCUCCAAGUUCUGUCAAGAACCAGAGAAUAACAGCAACUAGCCCUCUUCCAACGAAGAUUUGGGCAUCAAGAUGACCUCCAAUGAACAUGGCGCAAUUGAACAAAAUGAAGAGCAUCACGAGGCGAACAAUUUGACAUAUUACACGCGCGAAUCGGAGCUACAUGCACAGAGUUAUCGCAAUACAAACAGGAGCACAUGCAGAUAAGAUUUUAUGACGGGAAAAAAACGGACGUGAGGGAGAGGUCAACGGGGCUGUACCAGAUCGGAUCUCGCGAGGCCGAGCUCGAGCUCGGCCGACGCCGACGAGGCAGGGAGAGGGGCUCCGGCGGGGAGCGCCCGGAGGAGGGCCCGGCGGCGGAGGAGGGGCGCUGGAGGGUGACGGCGGCGGCGGGCGGCGGCGGCGGCNNNNNNNNNNNNNNNNNNNNNNNNNNNNNNNNNNNNNNNNNNNNNNNNNNNNNNNNNNNNNNNNNNNNNNNNNNNNNNNNNNNNNNNNNNNNNNNNNNNNNNNNNNNNNNNNNNNNNNNNNNNNNNNNNNNNNNNNNNNNNNNNNNNNNNNNNNNNNNNNNNNNNNNNNNNNNNNNNNNNNNNNNNNNNNNNNNNNNNNNNNNNNNNNNNNNNNNNNNNNNNNNNNNNNNNNNNNNNNNNNNNNNNNNNNNNNNNNNNNNNNNNNNNNNNNNNNNNNNNNNNNNNNNNNNNNNNNNNNNNNNNNNNNNNNNNNNNNNNNNNNNNNNNNNNNNNNNNNNNNNNNNNNNNNNNNNNNNNNNNNNNNNNNNNNNNNNNNNNNNNNNNNNNNNNNNNNNNNNNNNNNNNNNNNNNNNNNNNNNNNNNNNNNNNNNNNNNNNNNNNNNNNNNNNNNNNNNNNNNNNNNNNNNNNNNNNNNNNNNNNNNNNNNNNNNNNNNNNNNNNNNNNNNNNNNNNNNNNNNNNNNNNNNNNNNNNNNNNNNNNNNNNNNNNNNNNNNNNNNNNNNNNNNNNNNNNNNNNNNNNNNNNNNNNNNNNNNNNNNNNNNNNNNNNNNNNNNNNNNNNNNNNNNNNNNNNNNNNNNNNNNNNNNNNNNNGGCGCGGGUGACGUGGCGCGCUCCGGUUGGCCGGGCGCGAGGCGGACGUUGUCCGGCCGGAGCGGACGAGUCCGGCGCGGCGCGGAGGGAGAGGGUUAGGGUUUCGUCUGAGAUUUCGUUUUUCGGGAUGCCCACUUAUAAAUAGGUAGAGGGAGCUAGGAGGCUCUAAAUGAGGUGCGGUUUUCGCCCACACGAUCGUGAUCCAACGACCUAGAGCAUGGAAGAGAGUUUGGUGGGCUUUGGGAUGGUCUUGGAGGGGGUUUUUGCUGGACACUCAAAUGGACUUGGCGGAUGCCCGGUUAACCGUUGGAGUACCAAACGACCUCCGAAUGGAACGAAACUUGACCGGUAGUGUUGAGGAUAUAGACCUGGGGGUCACCCGCCAGGAGGGCCGGGUUACUCCAAGGAUCAUUACCAGAAGCCCGGAGCUAAGUUUCAGGAUAAUGGGCCAGAGAUGGGCUGAGACCCGAAUAUGGCUUAAAGCCCGUAGUUACAAUCAUUGUUAUAGUAGACUUGUAGUGUAAGGCAAGUAUUGUUUUAGAGCCCGAGCCGGACACUCUUAUGAGCCGGCCGGGACUCUAAGGGCUGCUGGGCAUCAGCCUCCCUAUAUAAAGGGACGACCCGGCAGCGGUUUGGGGACGACAACAAUCUAUCCGAGAGCCGGGAUAAGUGUUUAGUUCCCUGGCGAUCGUAACCCUAAUCAAUAACACCUCGAACUGGACGUAGGCUUUUACCUUCACCGUAAGGGGCCGAACCAGUAUAAACCCUCGUGUUCCUUUUCCCGCAUAACCCCUUCAAGCUUCCUAGUUGCGAUGGCUCCACGACUAAGUCCUAGCCCAAGGACAUCUGCCGUGACAAUUCCACGACAGUUGGCGCCCACCGUGGGGCGAGCGCACGGUGGAUUUGAGUUCUUGAAGGGCAGCUUCGAAGGGCUCAAGGGAUACGCUGUGGGCCGGAUGACCAAGAGUCGUCGCGGCAGGCUCUACAUCGACGACGCGGGCUGGGGCCCCGACGCCGGCUCAGUGGAGUACGGGUACCGGGUCCCCUUUGGCGGAAUUCAUGUCUUCAUUGGCAAGAUUGGUGAGCCGGGCCCCGAGCCGGGUCUCUGCGCCGAUCUCAUCGAAACGGCUCAGCGCGCCCGAUCCGCCCGGGCCCGGCCUGCCUUAAAACGCGCUUUUGUGGGAUGCAUCCAUGGAAGGCCCUCCGAUCCAUCUGGGUCUGGGGAUGAGGCGGCCGCCGGCUCUCACGGCGAGUCGGCCGCUGAUGAGUCAAACUCGUUGUACCAACUUCAAGAUGGCAGGCUCAUGAGUUAUUCCGAUGGCAACAGUAUUCCGGACCUUUUUGAGCCGCCAAGUCAGGUCGGAGUUUUUAUGGCUGGUGCGCAGCCUGUUCAGAACCCCGCUACCGGAUCAGAAAAUCCGGAGCCUUCCCCGGCUCAGGUGCUGAUGGAUCUCACAGAUAAGAUGACGGCCCUGUUAACUGCCACGGUUGACCCGGCAGAUCAAGCCCAGCAUGACGCGGAGGUGGCACAGUUAAAAUUGGAUCUGAUGAAAGCAAAAGAGGAUCUUGCAGCAGAAGGGAUCAGGCUGGCGGCGGAGCGGGCGGCUCUCGACGCCCGGGCUCAGUUGAUUCAGGCGCAGUCCUUCCAACUCACGAUGGAUCAGAACGCGGCCAACGAGGUCAUGAGAAGGAGGCAUCAGAAGGCCCAGUCUCGACUCCCGCCGGUUUACGAUCCGCGCAAUCUAUUCAACACGCCGGGUGCGGGAUCCAGUAACCCACCAGGGGUCAUUGCGCCCGGGUCGGGACCCCUUAUUCAGCCACUAGUAAUGGGGCCUCCCCAGGCGCCCCCUGCCCCGCCUAGUAUGUGCCAAUACCCCUGGGUCAUUACGAUAACCCGCUGGAGAACAUGGUAGCAGCGGCAGCACGACUGGCGGCUCUUCCCGUUGACGGCAAUUCUCCGGCCGCCGUGGAAACCCGCCGGGUCAGGGAACUCCUGCAGACGGCCCUAGCGCAGCAAGAGGCGUACUCCUACAGCCGGGACAGGAUCCACUCAACUCCUCGCCCAGGCCAGAGCCCGAGCUACAGCCGGCACAUGGUCUCGGCGACCGGCUCAAGUAAUGUCCGACGCCAUGGCCCGGCUCAUGUUGGAACCUUCUACGCCGCAGACCGAGCACGGCAAGAGGCGGAGCAGGUGCCGCAAUUGACGGCUUAUCAGACCCCCCCGGCUUAUCCAACGGCGUCCGUUGAUGUGGGUAUUUCUACCAGGACCGGGGGUGUCCCUUGUUUGGUGCCGGCCAUCCGUAAUGAACGUUUACCUAAGGAUUUCAAGGGCCCUAGGAAGGUGCCUAACUAUACAGCUGACUUACAGCCUGCGGCCUGGAUUGAGAGUUAUGAGAUGGCCAUGGAACUGCUAGAGGUCAGCGAGGCGGCCAUGGCCAAAUAUUUCACCAUGAUGUUAGAUGGAACAGCCCGCACGUGGUUAAAAGGGCUGCCACCGAACUCCAUUGGGUCUUGGACUGAGCUGAAGGCCCGGUUCAUUCAAAACUUCAAGGAUACCUGUAGGCAGUCUAUGUCAAUUGUGGAUUUGACUAACUGUAAGCAGCAGGAGGGCGAGUCCACGACCCAUUGGGUUCGCCGGGUCAAGGAGAUCAUACAUUCAUCAGAUAAGAUGGACGCCGGCUCUGCAGUCUUGAUGUUAGAACAGAACUGUCGUUUUGUGCCCCUAAAGAUGAAGCUUGGGCGGCUUAAACGUGACUGCACGGAUAUGGGUACACUAAUGGCGGCUCUUGUCAAAUACGCUGAUUCCGAUGGUACCAAGGAUCCCCCUUCAGGUGAUGAAAGGACAGGGAAGGGAAAGAAGAACGGCAAUGGAAAGAGCCCUCAGUUUAACCCGGGGAAUCAAGGAGGAGGCAAGCGCAAGGCCGAUGGCAGCCUGGAGUUCGUAGCCAACACCCAAGGCAACAACCAGCGACGCAAGGGGAGGCCCCCUCCCCGAGGCGGCGGGUCAGGACCUUCUCUGGAGCAGCUGUUGAAUGAACCUUGUCCGAGACACGGCUCUAGAGAGAAGCCAGCGACUCAUCUGUGGAAGGAUUGUGCUAUCAUGAAGGCCUUUAAAAACUACAAUGGCCCGGGCGGCGGCCCAGGCGCAGGCGGCUCCGGCGCUGGCGGCUCUCAUGGCCCGGGUGGCGGGUCAAAUUCCGGUCCUCAGAACGGUCAAGGGGGCUUCAAUCAACAGUCUGGUCAGGGUCAUCAACGGCAACAGGGGGGUUAUCAGACCAACCCGAAGCAACUUAGCGGUGGACAGUAUCACGUGUUCACCACUAGUUUGUGCAAACGAGACGAGAAGCUUCACAAGAGGGCUGUUAAUUCUGUUGAGCCGGCGGUUCCACGCUACUUACGGUGGUCGGAGCAGCCCAUAGUGUGGAGUAGGGAGGAUCACCCUCCCCGGGUGGAUAACCCGGGCCACCUGGCCUUAGUAGUGGCUCCUCAGGUGGGAGGCUAUAAGUUCACAAAGGUACUCAUGGAUGGAGGCAGCAGUAUCAACAUCCUCUAUUAUGAGACUUUCCGUCGUAUGGGGCUAGUUGAUAAGAACCUCAGCCAGUCAAAUACUAUCUUCCAUGGUGUGGUACCCGGUAAGUCGGCUUAUCCAGUCGGCAAGAUCGAAUUGGAAGUGGCUUUUGGUGAUGAAAACAACUACAGGGUGGAGAAGUUGACCUUUGAGGUGGUCAAGAUAAGAAGUCCAUACCAUGCUAUAUUCGGACGGCCGGCUUACGCCAAGUUCAUGGCACGGUCGUGUUAUGUGUACUUACAGCUCAAGAUGCCGGGUCACAAUGGGACCAUUACAGUUCACGGCAGCCGGAAGGUGGCUCUGGAGUGUGAGGAAGGUGACGCGGCUUAUGCAGAGUCUGUUUGUGCCACAGAAGAGUUGAAAUUUUAUAAAGACAAUGUUGACCCAACAGAUAUGACCUCUCUGAAAAAGCCAACCACGGAGAAUGAACCAGCAAUGAAGUUUAAAUCAGCCGAUGAGACUAAACUUGUUGAUUUUGUUCCAGGUGACUCGUCUCAGCAGUUCAGCAUCAGUGCAAAUCUGGACCCGAAAUAGGAAGGCGCGCUCAUCGAGUUCAUCCGUGAGAAUAGGGACAUCUUUGCAUGGAAACCUUCUGACAUGCCAGGUGUACCUAGAGAACUCGCUGAGCACACUCUCAAUGUGGAUCCAAAAUUUAAGCCGGUCAGGCAGUUCCUUCGACGGUUUAACGAAGAGAGGCGGAAGGCUAUUGGUGAAGAAGUGGCCCGGCUUUUGGCGGCCGGGUUCAUUGUUGAGGUUUUUCACCCAGAGUGGUUGACUAACCCGGUGCUCGUACUUAAAAAGAACGGCACCUGGCGGAUGUGUGUGGACUACACGGACUUGAACAAGGCGUGUCCGGCUGAUCCUUUUGCUCUCCCCCGCAUCGAUCAAAUCAUUGACGCCACGGCAGGUUGUGCACGCUUAAGUUUCUUGGAUGCUUAUUCCGGGUAUCAUCAGAUUAAGAUGGCAGUUAAGGACCAGGAGAAGACGGCGUUCAUCACUCCCUUUGGAGCCUUCUGCUAUGUGUCUAUGCCCUUUGGACUCAAGUGUGCACAGGCGACUUACCAGCGUUGUGUGCAGAAUUGCCUUCAUAAGCAGAUCGGGCGCAAUGUUCACGCUUACGUGGACGACAUUGUGGUUAAAUCCAUCAAGGAGGAAACCCUGAUAGAUGACUUAAGGGAAACCUUCGACAAUCUCCGGGUCUAUAAGAUGAUGCUUAACCCGGCCAAAUGUGUUUUUGGUGUUCCUGCAGGCAAACUAUUGGGCUUCUUGGUUUCUGACAGGGGCAUUGAGGCUAACCCAGAGAAGAUCAAAGCUAUCACUUCUCUAGCUCAGCCGGCAUGUAUAAAUGACGUUCAGCGUUUGGCGGGUCGCAUCGCUGCGUUAAGCCGGUUUAUAAGCCGUUUGGGUGAGAAGGCUAUGCCUUUAUAUCAAUUGAUGAAGAAAACUGAUAACUUUGUCUGGAAUGAUGCAGCUAAUACCGCCUUCGAGGAUUUGAAAAAGCAACUGGCAGAGCCCCCCGUCCUUGCUACUCCGGUUGAUAAGGAGCCCUUGCUACUGUAUGUAGCGGCAAACGCACGAGCUGUCAGCGUGGCUAUUGUGGUGGAGCGCAAGGAGGCAGGUAAGGAACAUCCGGUUCAGCGGCCGGUUUAUUAUGUCAGUGAGGUGCUCAUUGAGUCCAAGCAGCGGUAUCCGCAUUGGCAGAAGCUCGUAUAUGGGGUAUUUAUGGCGAGCCGGAAGCUUAAGCAUUACUUUCAAGGGCAUCCCAUCACUGUGGUCAGUUCCGCCCCUCUCGGUGAUAUUAUCCAGAACAGAGAGGCUACAGGGAGAAUUGCUAAGUGGGCUAUAGAACUUGGACCUCAUGACCUCAAAUAUGUGCCACGCACUGCUGUUAAGUCUCAGGCCUUGAUAGAUUUCAUCAAUGAUUGGACAGAGUCACAAGUACCCGAGCAAAAGCCGGAUAACACUUAUUGGACUAUUCACUUUGAUGGGUCCAGGCAGCUGGAGGGCUCGGGGGCUGGUGUGGUCUUGGCUUCCCCUAAAGGUGACAAGUUCCAUUAUGUGCUACGGUUGAUGUUUCCUUGCACUAAUAAUGCGGCUGAGUACGAGGCUCUGCUCCACGGUCUUCGGGUGGCUAAGGAGAUGAGCUUAAGCCGGCUGAGGUGUUUUGGUGACUCAGACUUGGUGGCUCAACAAGUAUCAGGCACCUGGGAUUCUAAGGAUCCUCUAAUGGCGGCUUAUCGCCGCAAGGUUGAUGCCAUUGCCGGGCACUUUCAGGGAUAUCAAGUGGAGCACAUUGACCGCAGGAAGAAUGAGGCGGCUGAUGCUUUAAGCCGGCUCGGCUCUCAGCGAAAGCCGGUGCCGCCUAACACUUUCCUGGAUGUCCUAUAUAACCCUUCGGUUAAGUUGCCUACAGAGGAGGACUUGGCUAUCCCUGACCCGGAGGCACGACUGGUGGCGGCUCUUCAUAUCACACCAGACUGGACAAUGCCAUAUCUGGCUUAUAUAACCCGGGGAGAGUUGCCUGAGGAUGAAAUUCUGGCCAGGCAAAUAACCCGGCGGGCUAAGUCAAUGAUUGUUAUCGAUGGCGAGUUGCAUCAUCGCAGUGUUUCAGGGGCAUUCCAGCGUUGUAUCUCCCCUGAGGAAGGUCAAGAGAUCUUGCGCGAGAUCCAUGAAGGGGAUUGUGGCCAUCAUGCCGGUUCAAAAUCUCUUGUGGCCAAGGCUUUCCGUCAUGGUUUUUAUUGGCUGACGGCUCACGCUAAUGCAGAGAACUUGGUCAGUAAAUGUGAUGGCUGCCAAAGGUUCUCCCGACGGGCUCAUGUGCCGGCUCAGGAAUUGAGGAUGAUCCCGAUCACUUGGCCCUUUGCGGUCUGGGGGCUUGAUAUGGUCGGGCCUUUUAAACGGUCCAAGGAUAAGAAGACUCACCUCUUGGUGGCAGUGGACAAAUUCACGAAGUGGGUGGAAGCUGAGCCAGUUAGCAAGUGCGAUGCAGCCACGGCGGUCCAAUUUAUGAAAAAGGUGAUCUUCCGCUUCGGCUUUCCACACAGCAUCAUAACAGACAACGGCACUAAUCUGUCCAAAGGCGCUAUGGAGGAGUUUUGUCAAAGAGAGCAUAUCCGGCUUGAUGUCUCUUCAGUGGCACACCCCCAAUCCAAUGGUCAAGCUGAGAGAGCUAACCAGGAGAUUCUGAAGGGCAUUAAACCCCGGCUCUUGGUCCCUUUGCAACGGACGCCAGGUUGUUGGGUGGAGGAGUUGCCCUCCGUUUUAUGGAGCAUCAACACUACUCCUAACAGGUCUACAGGCUUCACGCCUUUCUUCAUGGUUUAUGGAGCAGAAGCAGUUCUCCCCAGCGACAUCCGUCAUGAUUCACCUCGUGUGGCGGCUUAUGUUGAGACGGAUAAUGAACAGGCGCGCCGAGAUGCUCUGGACUUGCUGGACGAACAGCGUGAUGUGGCAGCCGCCCGUUCAGCGAUUUACAAACAAGACCUGCGCCGUUAUCAUAGCCGCCGGGUCAAAUCCCGGGUCUUCCAGGAGGGCGACCUGGUGCUCCGGCUCAUCCAGGAUCAAACAGAUGCACACAAGUUAUCCCCACCUUGGGAAGGGCCUUUUGUGGUCAGUAAGAACUUGCACAACGGGUCAUAUUACCUCAUUGAUAUCCGGGAGCAUAAGGACUCACGUAAAUCUGAGGAGGAGACCCGUCGGCCGUGGAACAUAGCUCAGCUUCGGCCUUACUACACUUGAGCUUCCGACUCUUGUGAUGUACAUAUUUAUCUCAGCCAUGUAUAUAUUAUGAUAAAGCAAUAAAGCAGGACCUCUGUCCUUUGCUCUCUUCCAAAAAUGUGUGUUGUUACAUGCUGACUUACAGAAGAUCCGGCUUAUGAUCAUCUUCGAAUCUAGCUGUAAGCAGUAAAGUCGCUUGGGGGCUUCCUGUUCACACAUGGGUCGUAUUCGAACCAAAGAGAACAUAGCUGUCGAUACCCAUUUGAUUGGCAAAAUGCCGAGCUCAUUGGGAAGUUGCCUCUGGUCAUAUUUGAAUCAUAGUGUAACCCCUCUGAGAACCGACGUGGAUCGUAUUCGAAUCAGCGUCGUUAAACAAAUUUUCAGAAUCACUUGGGGGCUUCCUGUUCAAACAUGGGUCGUAUUCGAACCAAAGAGAACAUAGCUGUCGAUACCCUCUUGAUUGGCAUCGCCAAACCCACUGGGGGCUAUAUGAUCGUAUCCGAAUCUUAGCUUAACCCCUUUGGACCGAGUUUCUGGUCGUAUUCGAACCGGAAGCCCUUAAGUUUUUAUAUUUUACCACAAACUUGCUUUGAUCAUGUCAAAGUAUGUACUGCCGGGUUUCACUUGCCGGCUUAAUUUUGGUUUAUCUUGUUAGUUGAGCAUCAUGGAUGUCAUCAAGACAAAUAAAUUCGAGUUAAGGUACCAACCGUGCUACCCGGGCUAUUUAACCCGGAAGUAUGCUUACAGGCUGUUAAGUGUGUCAUCACAGCUAUGUUCGAGUAUAGUUAAGGACCGAUCUUUUUUGGUUCGUAUCCCGGGUUAUCCAUCUCAAACACCUGAUUCUCAGGGCGGUAAGCCGCUUUGCGUCUUGUAAUUUGCCUUUCUAUGCAGAUAUUUAAAGGCACUUUUUAAGGUUGAGAAGGACAAAGGGAUAAUUCCGACCCGGAGGAGCAUCAAAAGAAUGACUUCAAAGGAUUUCAGCAUUCAUUACGUGCACGAUGGCACGGCAGAGAUAAAUUGUUGCACCUACUCUAUUACAAAAAUCUUUCAAAGUUUCAAGGAUGGGCGUUGUUUGGUGAGCCGCUAGCCGGUUUAUGACGCCUGCUGAGUUGAAGUCCCCGGCUCAUCUUCUGCUUCGGCUGAUCCCAAGGCUUCGAAGGUCGACGACUUGCAGUUGAUGCCGCUGAGAGCUUCGAACUGAGCUUCUUCGUUAAUUAACCCAUCCGGGUUAAUCUCCGGGGCAAAGGUGUGCUGGCGAGCCGGAGGAAUCAGAUUGAUGGCUUCAUAGCGAGGGGUUGGAAUCCUCUGAUUCUCCGCGUUGUAUCCCGGCUGAUACUUGGUUAAAUCGGUGUCGUUCCCGAUGAUGGUGGCUACCGGGCGCACAGCUUUCACACAAGCCGCGAAGUCCUUCUGGUCGAACGCUGAGCCGUCUUCUUUCAGGCUGGGAUAACCCAGGGCGAUGUCUGCCGGGUCUAGCUCCGGCAAGAAGGCUUUGGCCCGGCUCAGUGCGGCGAUUGCUCCGGAUCUCGCGGAUGCUCGUCGUAGCUCCUGGAUCCGCUGCGGCAGAACUGCAAGCCGGCGCAGGACUUCGGCCAGAUGAGUCGGCACUUCAUUCGACAGGGCCACCACAGCUAAAGCCCGCUGUGACCCGGUGUAGAGCUGUUCCACCAGGGUGUACACGGCCUUUAACUUGGUGACCACGCUCUGGUUCAAGUUGGCGCUUCUGGAACCUGUUUAACAACAUCAGAUGACCCGGUGGUAAGGAUGAGUUAAGAGAUGUAAAUAUUCCAAUGUGAAUGAAAGCCGGUGAGGCGACUUACCGAAGAUGGCAGCUACCAUUUGGGACACUUGGCGCUUUAGACCGGAGAGCUCAGCGGUCUUCUCAGUAAGGGCCUUCUCCGCCUGUUCUGCCCGGGUCACCAGUGCAGUUUUCUCCUCAGCCCAGGCCUUCCGCUCAGCGUCGAAUUCAGUCUUCAACUUUUCCUGAGCGGCGAUGCUGGAGACAAACUUGGCAUUUGCCUUCCGGGUCUCCAUCUCUUGUGCCUUCAGCCGGCUCUUGAGAUCCGCCAGGUCUGACUCUAAUUUCUUGCCAACAGACUGCAUAUAUUUCCGGGUUAUUAACAGUCAUCCUAUAAAGUCCCAAGCGCUUUCCAAGCAAAGACACUUGGCACUUGGGGGCUAAUGCAUAUUGAACGUAUCUAUCUAUGUACGGCCGGCUCAGUUCAGUAAGCCGGAAUCUAAAGUCUACAACAUAUUCAAGUAUAAGUCCUAGACUUGGGGGCUAGAAUGGCAAGGAUCACUAUGCGGAAAGUAAGAGAACAGCAGAAGGUUACCUCAGAUUUGUGUUGGAUCUGGUUGACCAUGGCGAUCUCGGCGUCCCGGCUCUUGUGAACCUGGCUGAUAUAGCUUGAGACGAGUUCUCCAAUACUUAAGUCGGUGUAGCUGGAGAGAUCCAGAUUCACCCGGUGGGGUUGUAGCAACUCCCCCCUUGCGGAGCAUUUGGCCAGCGCGGUCGGCCUUCCCGGCUCAACAAACUCCGUCCGGGUAAUUACCACGUCCGGGUCAUUAGCUGGUGGGGCUUCAGGCGCCGUAUCCAUGGGAAUGGUGGCUUCAGGGGUGGAGGCGACUGGCGGCUCUUGAGCCGUCGUCUCCGGCUCAGGCAAGUCGGGCACUCCGGCUGACCUGGUCUUCUUUACUCUUUUGGUGAGCUUUGCCUGGGCACUGAAAAGGCAGAAGUGUUAGGCAUACAAAGGGUAAGUACAGACAGAUAAUGUAAGGAGAUUGUUAUUACCCGGGGGCAGUCUUGAAGGCCGGCAGACUUGACUGCAUGGAGUCACCCGAGGAGGGGGAGGUCUCCUGAUAAUUGGAGUCAGAAGAGUUGAGUGGCUGACGGAUGACACCCGCCAACGGAUGAAAAGGGUACAGGUGAGCAAAAACCUCAGUGCGGCGUUUCCUCGUUGCGUCGGGUAACCCAGUGGAGAGGUCGGUGUCCUUGCGGGCCCGGGUGUGACGCCGGCUCUCGUGAACCUGCUGCUUCAAAAGAAAUUGAGGGUCUCGGUGAGCUAAUCGAUGGGAAAAGCUUACUUUCCGGGUUACCCUUCGGACUUUCAGCUGUGGUAAAGGCUCCGAGCCGGAGGAAAGUGAUGUUACCUCUUCGACCACCGGGUUACUGGCGCCGGUGUCAUCCUGUCAAUAAGCAAGUGUUGAUAAGGCGGACAGCAUCAGACAACAUAUACUGCAAGAAUUUAAAAGAUUUAAGGGUUACCUCUGAUUCGGAGCUAUCGCUUAAUUGCAGCAGCUCCGAAGCAGUGGGUCUGUUUCCCUUUUUGCGAGAGGCGGCUCUCUUGGCGGCUUUCUUCGCCUUCCUGGCCUUCUUGGCCGCCUCGUGGUCAUACUUGACCCGCCAGAAUUUAUCAUCAGCCUGAGAAAUACAGUAAUGAGCUCUUAGUAAGAUGACAGGUAAAACAAAAUGGAAAGGUUAAAGUCAGCGGCUUACCGCUGGGGCUGGAUUGGUCUUGCAGAACGGGGCUAGCCCGAUUCUUCCACAGUCUGCCAGGCUCUCGUUUAAAAGAGCCUUGGUCUCUUCUUCAGCAACGUCUUCUGGAAGAUCAUUGCGACUGUGCCUCUGCGGGUCAUCCUUUCGCCCGGUGUACUCACACAUUAAGCCGGGGCGGCGGCUCAAUGGGAUCACCCGCCAUGAGAUCCAGACCCGGACCAGGUCAAUUCCGUUCAGACCAUUGCCUAGCAGGGCUUUGAUCUUGUUGAUCGUUGGAAGCAGAGGCUGGCGUUCUGCGGCAGUCAGUUUGUCGGAUAAUGGAUGAGUUGGCUCCAGGCGCGUUGGGCGAAAGCCGGGCAGCGGGCUCUCAUCAGCCGGGGACGUGUCUUGGCAGUAGAACCAAGUCAUGUUCCAGUCCUUGGGGUGACUUGGCGGUUCUGCAUAAGGGAACAGACAAUCCCUGCGCCGUUGGAUGGAGAUGCCGCCUAACUCUAGACUUGGACCGUUUGCGCACUCGGUUUGGCGGUUCAAAUAGAACAGCUCUCUGAAGAGCAGCAGACUCGGCUCUUCUCCAAGAUAUACUUCACAAAAAACUUGGAAGUUGCAGAUGUUGGAUAUGGAAUUGGGUCCUAUAUCCUGAGGCCUAAGAUCAAAGAAGUUGAGCACAUCCCGGAAGAAUUUUGAGCCGGGCGGUGCGAAGCCCCGGCUCAUAUGGUCGGCAAAGAUCACUACCUCCCCGUCUCUCGGCUGUGGCCUUUCUUCGGACGGGUCAGGGGCACGGUAGGACAUCACUUCCUUCUUAGGCAGAUAUCCGGAUUUAACGAAGUUGGCCAGGGUCUCUUCGGUGACGCUGGAUUUCAUCCAGUUGCAAGUGAUGGGAGCCUUGGGAGGCAUGGUGACGGUUGGUGGUCUACGAGGAAGAGAAAAGUGUCCGGGUUAAUUAUAAGCCGGAGUAUAUCAUUCAAGUUACAAUGACGGCUUAUGAAGGGGACUAAUGGUAUGUCUUGAUACGGUGGGUUAUCUAAGCCGUCGGGGCUUUCAGGAUAAGUUGGUCGUCUACGGCUUACUGCGGUUAAGUCGGAGGAUACUACAGAGCAUGAUUCUCUUUAAAUCGGAAAGUUCUACGGCGCGUGUUUUCUCUAAGUCGGAAAUAUAAGCCGCCAAGAUUCAAGGACUGCAGUUUUUACUAAGUGUGGUAAACAGAUUUCACAUAUUACAGUAACUUUUUUGGAUCAAAGUAGUCGGAGCAGAGAAAGUUUUCUAGACCUAAAAAACAGAAGCAGGGGAGGUUCUUGAGAUGGAACCCAGUCCUUAUGCAGUAAAAAGAGGUGUUCUUGCAGAAGAAAUGACCCUCAGAUAUCUACCGCGGUGGUUCUACACAAGCCUAAGGAUCAACGGGGGCAGUGGCUACAGGGGUUACCGAAACUUGCGGUAACAGUGAUGAACAUGAAGAACACAGAUGAACUCUGUCUUAGAUCUAUGCUAGUAAGGCAGAGGGGACUCACCGGAGCUGGAGAAGAGCGGAGGUCGCCGACGUUAUCUGGUCCGAGUCAGGUUGAUGCAGCGGCCGGGUUGAGGAAGACCAGGGGUGCGACGGCGGCGGCGGCAGAAGCUCGGGCAGAGGAACGGCAGUGCGAGGAAGAAGAAGGAGAAUGUGAAGAAGAGAGUGCCGGGCCGGCCUAUUUAUAAGGCCGAGUCAUAAGCGGGCGCGGGAUUUGAGGAGGCCACGGCGUGGUUAUCUCCCCCCUCACGGCGCCUCGAUUCUCGGAAGGUCAGUAAAAGCAAAGAUCCGUUGCGGAUCUGGCGGAGUAAAGAACGGAUUUAGUGCAGGAUGACGUCACGGCGGAUUACCCGGAGUCCAGAGGAUGACGUCACUCCGGGUUAUGACCUUCACAUGAAUGAUAAGCCGGAGCUUUUUUCUGACUGCGGAGCUGAAGAUUGACACGAGCCGGCUCAAGUCAAUCUGGGGCCUAAUGUUGAGGAUAUAGACCUGGGGGUCACCCGCCAGGAGGGCCGGGUUACUCCAAGGAUCAUUACCAGAAGCCCGGAGCUAAGUUUCAGGAUAAUGGGCCAGAGAUGGGCUGAGACCCGGAUAUGGCUUAAAGCCCGUAGUUACAAUCAUUGUUAUAGUAGACUUGUAGUGUAAGUCAAGUAUUGUUUUAGAGCCCGAGCCGGACACUCUUAUGAGCCGGCCGGGACUCUAAGGGUUGCUGGGCGUCAGCCUCCCUAUAUAAAGGGACGACCCGGCAGCGGUUUGGGGACGACAACAAUCUAUCCGAGAGCCGGGAUAAGUGUUUAGUUCCCUGGCGAUCGUAACCCUAAUCAAUAACACCUCGAACUGGACGUAGGCUUUUACCUUCACCGUAAGGGGCCGAACCAGUAUAAACCCUCGUGUUCCUUGUCCCGCAUAACCCCUUCAAGCUUCCUAGUUGCGAUGGCUCCACGACUAAGUCCUAGCCCAAGGACAUCUGCCGUGACAAUUCCACGACAGGUAGUCUCCGGGUGGUAUAUUAAGACCACUUGACAAGCCUCGGUCCAUUCCGAGAAAGUUUGACACACGCACACGAAAGAAAACAAGAGGGGUGCACCGGAGGAGAUAGGAGCGCCGGAUUGGAAAACGGACAACGGGGAAAAUGCUCGGAUGCAUGAGACGAACACGUAUGCGAAUGCAAUGCACAUGAUGACAUGAUAUGAAAAUGCAUGACAUGACAAAAUACAAAACGAAAGACAAAACCCGACAACGGAGGGAAAAUCAUAACACAUAGCCGGAAAUGGCAAGAGUCGGAGUUACAAAUAUGGCAAGUUACAUGCGGGGUGUUACAACACUCCACCACUACGAGAGGAUCUCGUCCCGAGAUCUAGGACUGAAAAAACUCCGGAUAUUCGGAACGGAGAUGGUCUUCGCGUACCAGGUGGCUUCCCGGUCGGAAUGAUGCGACCACUUCACUUUCAGGAAUUUGAUAGACUUGUUGCGAGUCUUGCGCUCAGUUUCUUCAAGAAUAGCAACUGGGUGCUCAUGAUAAGACAAAUCUUCUUGGAGGUCAAUCUCUUCGAAGUCGAUAGUGCGCUCAGGCGUCUUGAAGCACUUGCGGAGCUGUGACACGUGGAACACAUCGUGCACGUUCGCGAAGUUGGAAGGAAGCUCAAGUUGAUAGGCGAGGUCGCCUCUUUUGCCAAUGAUCUUGAAAGGACCCACGUAUCUAGGGGCAAGCUUCCCUUUGAUACCGAAGCGACGAGUGCCUUUCAUUGGAGAGACGCAGAGGUAGACAUGGUCUCCGAUCUCGAAAGCCAAAUCACGGUGCUUACUAUCAUAGUAACUCUUCUGGCGCGAUUGCGCGGCUUUGAGAUGAUCACGGAUGACUUUACACAUUUCUUCAGCUUCAGUGAUUAAGUCAUUGCCAAGAAGUUGGCGUUCACCAGUCUCUGGCCAAUUGAGAGGAGUACGGCACUUUCUGCCAUAGAGAAUCUCGAAUGGGGCCUUGCCCGAACUCGCUUGGAAGCUGUUGUUGUAGGAGAAUUCAGCAUAUGGAAGACAAUCUUCCCAUUUCAUGCCAAAGGAAAUGACACAAGCCCUGAGCAUAUCUUCAAGAAUUUGAUUGACUCGCUCGACUUGGCCACUAGUUUGAGGGUGAAAAGCUGUGCUGAAGCGAAUAUUUGUGCCCAUGGCCUUCUGGAAGGAGUCCCAGAACUUAGAGGUGAAGAUACUUCCACGAUCUGAAGAAAUCAAUUGUGGAAUGCCGUGCAAGGAGACAAUUCUGGAGGUGUAGAGCUCUGCCAGCUGAGCUGCUGUGAUGGAUUCUUUGAUAGGAAGGAAAUGAGCCACUUUAGAGAGCUUGUCAAUGACAACAAAGAUAGCGUCAUUUCCGCGCUUGGACUUUGAAAAUCCAGUCACGAAGUCCAUUUCAAUAUGAUCGAACUUCCAUUCUGGGAUAGCAAGAGGUUGGAGGAGACCAGCUGGUCAUUGGUGUUCUGCUUUCACUCUUCGGCAGACAUCACAUUCAUUCACGAAUUGAGCAAUUUCUCGCUUCAUUCGAGUCCACCAAUACGACUGCUUGAGGUCAUGAUACAUCUUCGUACUUCCAGGAUGAAUGGACAGGAGAGAAUUGUGUGCCUCAUUCAUUAUGACUUUCCGUAGAUCACCUUUAGGAACCACAAUCCGGUCCUCGAAGAACAAAGUGUCUCUGUCAUCAAUGCGAUAGCAUUUGUAUUUGGAAAGACCCUUGUUGAUACCACGUUUCACCUUCUUCACCAUGGCAUCAAGGAGUUGUGCCUCACGAAUUUGAUCUUCCAAAGUAGGAGAUACUAUGAGGUUGGCAAGAACGCCUUGAGGAACAACUUGGAGAUUCAGCUUGCGGAAAGCUUCACAAAGAUCCGGUUGGAAAGGCUUGAGAAUUAAGCUGUUGCAAUAAGCUUUCCUGCUUAAAGCAUCUGCAAUGACAUUAGCCUUGCCUGGAGUAUAUUCAAUACUCGGAUUGUACUCUUGAAUCAUUUCGACCCAUCGAGUCUUCCUGAGGUUGAGGUUGGGCUGAGUGAAGAUAUACUUGAGACUCUUGUGAUCAGUGAAAAUGUCCACUUGUCUUCCCAACAAGAGAUGUCUCCACGUAAUCAAUGCAUGGACAACUGCCGCCAACUCAAGAUCGUGAGUGGGGUAGUUCUUCUCGUUGGGCUUCAACUGCCGAGAGGUAUAGGCCACAACUUUCUUCUCUUGCAUUAACACAGCACCGAGACCUUGGAGAGAAGCAUCAGAGAAAACUUCAUACGGCUUGGAUUCAUCAGGAGGAGUCAAGACAGGAGCUGUGACUAGUUUCUCUUUGAGAGUGUUGAAAGCAACGUCACACUCAGGAGACCAGACAUACUUCACAUGCUUCUGUAGGAGGUUGGAAAGAGGCUUUACAAUUUUGGAGAAAUUCUCAACGAAUCUUCGGCAAUAGCUUGCAAGACCCAGAAAACUACGGAGCUGCUUGACAUUUUGAGGAGGUUCCCAAUCCAGAACUGCGGACACCUUCUCGGGGUUAACAGCGAUGCCUUUGGCAGAGAUGAUGUGACCAAGGAAAAGAACUUCAUCGAGCCAAAACUCACAUUUGGAGAACUUCGCAUAGAAUUGAUACUCUCUGAGCUUGUCGAGCACCAAUCGCAAAUGUUUGGCAUGAUCCUGCUUAUUCUUGGAGAAGACCAAGAUAUCAUCGAGAUACACCAGAACGAAUUCAUUGGUAUAGGGUUUGAAGAUGAAAUUCAUCAUCCGAGAGAACACCGGAGGAGCAUUGACAAGGCCGAAAGACACGACAGUAUAUUCAUAAGAACCAAAGCUUGUUCUGAAUGCUGUCUUGGGAAUAUCUUCUUCACGAAUGCGAAUCUGAUGAUAACCCAUACGAAGGUCAAGCUUCGAGAAAACUUUAGCACCCUUGAGUUGCUCAAAUAGCUCAUUGAUGUUGGGAAGUGGAUACUUGUUCUUGAUUGUCUUCUUGUUCAAUGGACGGUAGUCGACACAAAGUCGGUCCAUGCCAUCCUUCUUCUUGACAAAAAGAACACCACAACCCCAUGGAGAAGAACUCGGUCUGAUCAAACCCAGACGCUCUUGUUCAUCGAGCUGCUUCUUCAAUUCCUUCAGCUCGUUUGGUCCAAGCUUGUAUGGACGCUUGCAAACGGGUACAGUACCAGGCUCUAGUUCGAUAACGAACUCAACUGGCCGGUGCGGAGGCAUACCCGGAAGCUCUUCUGGAAAGACAUCUUGAUACUCGCAAACGACUGGAAUUUGAGAGAUGGCAUCCAAUUCGCCCUUCUCAUUGAGAGAGAAAAACCAAAUGGUUCCAUCACGAGCGGCAAAAAUAAUCACAUCCUCAGACGAGUGUGUCAAUUGAAUUUCCCUGGCAGCACAAUCAAGUUGAGCUUUGUGCUUAGAAAGCCAGUCCAUCCCGAGAAUAAGAUCAAUAUCCGAGUCACCAAGAACAAUUGGAGAAGACUGAAAUCUAUAGUCGCCCAUCUUGAUGGUAACAUUCGGAACCAUGGAACUUGCAUUCAUGCAUUUGCCCGGAGAGACCACUGCUAACGGCCUAGGCAAUCCUUGGAAAUGCAAUUCAUGCUUGGAUGCAAAAGGUCUUGAUAUGAAAGAAAGCGAUGCACCAGUAUCAAAAAGAACUUUUGCAGGAAUAUCAUUAACAGGAAGAUUACCCAUUAUCACAUCAGUAGAAUCCUCCGCUUGAGCUGCAUUCAUCAUGUUCACCUUUGCAAACUUUGGAUUAUGCUUGACCACUGCAUUGCUGGAAGAUCUGACAGGAGGAGGAGGAGGAAGACGCCUCUGGUUGAAGCACUUGUUAGCAUAGUGACCUUUCUGCUGACAUUUGUUGCAAGUCACCUCUGAGAGUGGACGGUGAUAAGGAGCAUUGGACUUUGGAGUUUGAUUCUGAGACUUGUUCUGAUAGCCAGAGUUGGAAGAGUUGGACGGACCAUGGCCACCUUUGUUCUUCUGCUGGUAAGGCUGACGAAACGGAGGAGGAGGAGGCAACCAGAACUUCUGUUGCUUAGCUGUCACAAGUGAGGAAGAAGAAGACUGAACUGCGUCUCUGACUCUCUUCUUAGAAGCCUCACACUUGAGCUGAGCAGCCUCUUGCUUCAGUGCCAUAUUGUAGAAUUGGUCAAACUGAGUAGGCUCAAUAAGAACGAGAGCUAACUGCAGAUCCUCUUUAAGGCCACCUCUGAAGUGAUAGAUCAUACUCUUCUCAUCAGGAACGUCUUGUUUAGCGAAGCGAGCAAGUUUCUGAAACUGAAUGUUGUAUUGAUACACAGACAUGUUUCCUUGCUUGAGAUUGCGGAACUCCUCACGCUUGCUCUCAACAACACUUUGUGGAAUGUGGUGCGCUUUGAAGUCCCGACAGAAGUCAGUCCAAGUGAUCACACGACCUCCUCUGGAAUCUUUGUAUUGUUGAUACCAAUCAGCAGCUUGGUCCUUGAGCUGGAAAGAAGCGAACUUGACAAAGUCCUCAGGCCUGACAUUGCUACAUUCAAAAUGCUUGUUGAUGUCCACGAGCCAAUCAUCGGCAUCCGUGGCCUCGGCACAGUAGCUGAAAGACUUGGGCUGAUUUGCGAGAAACUGGUUGAGAGUGGCGAAGUGAAACUGAUUGUUUCCUUGACCUUGAUUGCCUUGAUUGCCUUGCCCUUGAGUACGUUCUUGCAAGAGUUGCAGAAUCAUCUGAGCAUUGGCGUUGGUGGCUGCCAUGAUUGCUUGCCAUGCCUCCGGAGGUGGAGGUGGUGGCGGAGGGUUCGCUUGACUCCCUUCAUUGCGAUCCGGAUUCUGACGCGUUGGCGGAGCCAUCCUGAAGAGGGUGACAUCCGUUAGCAUCUUGAUAGAUAAAAAGAUAAGUAGAAUUAACGGACAGAAAUUGCAACAUAUAGUCUUCACAAUAAACAUUCGAACGAAGAUGAACGAAUGAAUUCCGUAGUAAAUCAUCACACUUCCAUAAGUUGAGAAGCCACUUGAAAAGAUAUGGAAUGAACAUAUGAAUUCGAAGCAAAUCGAAUACCACAAUACAAAAUAAACCAAGUAUUGGCUUGCAGAAUAAGCCGGAACAAACAUAUGAUAGAUAUUUCGUCCGAAGUUUUCGUGGUGGGGCCCACACGGGCUCAAUCGUACAGCACCAUCAUGUACAGGGCUGUGCACAUGACAUACGAAGCAUCCCCGAGUCGGCAAAGCCAUGGACUCUUUAAGACACAACGAGACCACUAUAAAAUCAACCGUAUACAGGCGGACCACUAGACGUCGAACCCCAAUCUCAUAUCAUGCGUCUGUCGGAAAGAUAUCCUAAGGCUACUUGAAUUCCCACUUAUAAACUGCCGAAACUUUCUGGUUAUGCAAUCUGGUGUAGGGGAUACAGGGGACACAAAAUAUAUAUCACCCAAACUAACAAUCCCUAGAUCCAGCUGUAUCCAUCCGUCAACACAUAACCAAGAAACCUUCGGAAAUCGUUUACCUCAACCUUCGAAAAACAUCCGUUAUACAAGUCAUGGCAAUACUCCUGAACUCCCGCCCCAGUACUGGGUGGCGUCGAGGUGAUCUCACCAACAACUGCAUAAAAGAGAUUUCGUUGUCGGCGAAACUCAGGUAAUCCAGAACUGCAACGAUAAAAUUGUGACGACAACACCUCGGAGCUCAACUCCCCGGGACACUGCCACAACCCCUAAAUGACAGGAGGCACCAAGAACAAUGUUCUCGUCACAAAUCCAUCGGAACGAUUCCAAGAUACCCGCGUGAUCCUAAAAAAAUUUUAGUGAAAUUUGAGGAGAGAAUAGUCAAAACUUCUACGUCAGGAGACCUCACCAGAGCGACGAAGGGACUGAGGAGUAAAAAGAAUCCUACUCUCCGAUAUAUAUAUAAUUCAAAGACUCAAAACAUUUUUGAUCUAGACUCAACAACGCCAGCGAUUCGAUCAAGCAGGGGGCUCCUAAGUCGGGGAUGGCUCUGAUUACCAACUUGUAACGCCCACGAUGUGGCUAUAUCUCCCACGUGUCGGGGCACGACUUAGAGGCAUAACCGCAUAGUGGUUUUGUCGCAAGAAGGGUCAUCUUCACACAAUCCCAUGUAAUGAACAAGAAUGGGAUAAGGAGUUGGCUUACAAUCGCCACUUCACACAAUACAUAAAUAUCAUUCAUACAUCAUCCAAAAAACAAUCAUUUAGACCGACUACGGUCAAAAUCCAGAUGAAAAUAAGACAACCCCAAAUGCUAGAUCCCCGAUCGUCCCAACUGGGCUCCACUACUGAUCAUCAGGAAAAGACACAUAAUAACGACCACGUUCCUCGUCGAACUCCCACUUGAGAUCGACGCCAUCGUCUGCACUGGCAUCGUCGGCACCUGCAACUGUUUUGGUAGAAUCUGUGAGUCACGGGGACUCAGCAAUCUCACACCCGCGAGAUCAAGACUAUUUAAGCUUGUAGGACAAGGAGGAGUAGAGAGGUGGAGCUGCAGCGGCAAAAGCAUAUAUGGUGGCUAACUUGCGUAAAAGAGAGCGAGAAGAGAAGCAAAGGAACGGACGUCAUCUAGCAAUGACCAAGAAGUGAUCCUGAACACCUACUUACGUCAUACAUAACACAGACCGUGUUCGCUUUCCGGACUCCGCCGAGAAGAGACCAUCACGGCUACACACGCAGUGGAUGUAUUUUAUUUGGGUCAAGUGACAAGUUAUCUACAACCGGACAUUAACAAAUUCCCAUCUGCCUCAUAACCGCGGGCACGGCUUUCGAAAGAUAAUACCCUGUAGGGGUGUCCCAACUUAGCCCAUCAUAAGCUCUCACGGUCAACGAAGGAUAAACCUUCUCCCGGAAAGACCCGAUCAGUCUCGGAAUCCCGGUUUACAAGACAUCUCGACAAUGGUAAAACAAGACCAGCAAAGCCGCCCGAAUGUGCCGACAAAUCCCGAUAGGAGCUGCACAUAUCUCGUUCUCAGGGCACACCGGAUUGUCCAAGCUUCCGAUAGGCCAGUCCAGAGUUGCCCCUGGUGGCCACCGGCGACUGACAGUUUGGACCAAUACUCAGAGGAGCACUGGCCCGGGGGUUUAAAAUAAAGAUGACCCUCGGGCUCUAGAAAACCCGGGGGAAAAAGGUAUAGGUCGCAAAUGGUAAAACCAAGGUUGGGCCUUGCUGGAGGAGUUUUAUUCAAGGCGAACUGUCAAGGGNNNNNNNNNNGUCCCAUAAAUCACCCGACCGCGUAAGGAACGCAAACUCAAGGAACAUAAUCCCGGUAUAACAGUAACUAGGGCGGCAAGAGUGGAACAAAACACCAGGCAUAAGGCCGAGCCUUCCACCCUUAACCAAAAUAUAUAGAUGCAUUAAUUAAAUAAGAGAUAUUGUGAUAUCCCAACAUAUCCAUGUUCCGACAUGGAACAAACUUCAACUUCACCUGCAACUAGCAACGCUAUAAGAGGGGCUGAGCAAAAGCGGUAACAUAGCCAAACAACGGUUUGCUAGGAGAGGAUGGUUAGAGGCUGACAUGGCUAAAAUGGGAGACAUGAUCUAGCAAGUGAUAGGUAGCGGAGCAUGGCAAUAGAGCGAACAACUAGCAUGGCAAAGAUAGAAGUGAUUUCGAGGGGUGGUCAUCUUGCCUGCAAGAUUCUCAGAGUUGUCGAAAGCUUGAUCCUCGUAAGCGUACUCGACAGGUUCCUCGUUCACGAACUCGUCUCCCAGCUCUACCCAAGACAAGAACACAAACAAACGGAACCACAAUCAACAACGAGAAAUGCGCAAGCAACAUGACGCAAAACAUGUAUGAUAUGCAAGAUAUGAUAUGCGAUGCGUAUGCGUGCUCCGGAAGGAAAAAGAUGAACAUGGCAGUAACUUGGCAAACCAAGCAUGCCACUGGAAAGAUGAGAUGAUUUCGGUCGAAAUCGAUAUAAGGAUCACCGGAAUCGGAUGCACGGUUUGCAAAUGGCAAGCAAAACAGGAAUGACACGAAUCUGCGAUUAACAGCAUGAUAGCACUCAAAAUGCAACAAGUAACAAUGCUACAGCACCCCAACAUAGCAACAAAGCACAUGUAAGUAAUCUACAGGAGAUGCUUGACAAAAGAUGAACAGUGAGCUACGGCUAGUUCACAACAUAUCAAGUUCAAACAAGCAUGGCAAAAGUGCAAAAGAUUACAGGUACACAGACUUGGUGAAAAACUGGACAUGGCAGAAAACAGCAUCAGGUAGCAAUGUUCAGAGCAUGAAAUCAACAUGCUACAGGAACUUAACAUAGCAACACAAGGCAUGGUAGUGUUUUACUAAAUGCACAUGACAAAAGUCCCUUACUGACCAUAAGCCAAAAAGGACCAGAAGAUAUGAUGGCAAGCAUGUAAACAUAGCAAGUUUCGUUAUCAGGUUUCAGACUUAGCAGAAAACAGAGCAUGGCAGGAAUAUUAAUAUGUAGGCCUCUUUGUGAGCUUGAUGCACUCCCUACAGAGCAAUGCAUGACAAACCAAGCAUACCUACAGCAAGAUGGCAUGUUUAUGAAGCUAUCCAUGGAAAGAACAAUUGCAUAGCAUAUAUGGAUCAACUACAAUAAGCUUGGCAAAAAUGCAUGUCAUGUUAAGAAUCUGCCAGAAAUAUUUUAUAGCAAAAGUAGAGCAAGAUUGAGUCAUGCUAUGGCACUCCAUAAUUGCAAACAAUUGCAGGAAUGGAUCAAUUACAACUAUAGCUACAAAACAUCCUUACUGAACAUCUCCAAAAUAUGCAUGGAUCUCUCUGUAGCAUCAAGUUUACAUGGCAACAAAAUUACAGCAGACGAGCAUCAAGUUCCUGAAAUCAGAAUUAUUACGGGGCCUACUUUGCAUGCUUGUUCUAGUCACCACAGAGAUCACAAAAAUACAUGGACUACACCACUGGAAAGAUGGCAUGGCAUACUUAAAAACACAUAUAGAGCUCAUGCUCAAAAGAUGCACAGAUUUAAUGAUACAAAAAUGACAAAUCUCCAAGUUCUGUCAAGAACCAGAGAAUAACAGCAACUAGCCCUCUUCCAACGAAGAUUUGGGCAUCAAGAUGACCUCCAAUGAACAUGGCGCAAUUGAACAAAAUGAAGAGCAUCACGAGGCGAACAAUUUGACAUAUUACACGCGCGAAUCGGAGCUACAUGCACAGAGUUAUCGCAAUACAAACAAGAGCACAUGCAGAUAAGAUUUUAUGACUGGAAAAAACGGACGCGAGGGAGAGGUCAACGGGGCUGUACCAGAUCGGAUCUCGCGAGGCUGAGCUCGAGCUCGGCCGACGCCGGCGAGGCAGGGAGAGGGGCUCCGGCGGGGAGCGCCCGGAGGAGGGCCCGGCGGCNNNNNNNNNNNNNNNNNNNNNNNNNNNNNNNNNNNNNNNNNNNNNNNNNNNNNNNNNNNNNNNNNNNNNNNNNNNNNNNNNNNNNNNNNNNNNNNNNNNNNNNNNNNNNNNNNNNNNNNNNNNNNNNNNNNNNNNNNNNNNNNNNNNNNNNNNNNNNNNNNNNNNNNNNNNNNNNNNNNNNNNNNNNNNNNNNNNNNNNNNNNNNNNNNNNNNNNNNNNNNNNNNNNNNNNNNNNNNNNNNNNNNNNNNNNNNNNNNNNNNNNNNNNNNNNNNNNNNNNNNNNNNNNNNNNNNNNNNNNNNNNNNNNNNNNNNNNNNNNNNNNNNNNNNNNNNNNNNNNNNNNNNNNNNNNNNNNNNNNNNNNNNNNNNNNNNNNNNNNNNNNNNNNNNNNNNNNNNNNNNNNNNNNNNNNNNNNNNNNNNNNNNNNNNNNNNNNNNNNNNNNNNNNNNNNNNNNNNNNNNNNNNNNNNNNNNNNNNNNNNNNNNNNNNNNNNNNNNNNNNNNNNNNNNNNNNNNNNNNCGGCGGCGCGGGUGACGUGGCGCGCUCCGGUUGGCCGGGCGCGCGGCGGACGGUGUCCGGCCGGAGCGGACGCGUCCGGCGCGGCGCGAAGGGAGAGGGUUAGGGUUUCGUCUGAGAUUUCGUUUUUCGGGAUGCCCACUUAUAAAUAGGUAGAGGGAGCUAGGAGGCUCCAAAUGAGGUGCGGUUUUCGCCCACACGAUCGUGAUCCAACGACCUAGAGCAUGGAAGAGAGUUUGGUGGGCUUUGGGCUGGUCUUGGAGGGGGUUUUUGCUGGACACUCAAAUGGACUUGGCGGAUGCCCGGUUAACCGUUGGAGUACCAAACGACCUCCGAAUGGAACGAAACUUGACCGGUAGUCUCCGGGUGGUAUAUUAAGACCACUUGACAAGCCUCGGUCCAUUUCGAGAAAGUUGACACACGCACACGAAAGAAAACAAGAGGGGUGCACCGGAGGAGAUAGGAGCGCCGGAUUGGAAAACGGACAACGGGGAAAAUGCUCGGAUGCAUGAGACGAACACGUAUGCGAAUGCAAUGCACAUGAUGACAUGAUAUGAAAAUGCAUGACAUGACAAAAUACAAAACGAAAGACAAAACCCGACAACGGGGAAAAUCAUAACACAUAGCCGGAAAUGGCAAGAGUCGGAGUUACAAAUAUGGCAACAUGCGGGGUGUUACACAGCGCCCUCAAAGGCGGCACGACGCAGCCGCCGGCCGCGGAGAGCGCCAUGGCCUCUGCAAUGCGCGCCUGGUACGCCUCCUCCUUGCGCCGCUCCUCCUUGGUCCGCGGAAAUAUCUGCCGUGUUUACACAAUCAACGUGCUCUAGCUUUUUUAUUUUUUAUUAUUUUUAGAAAAUGAUAAAGAAACAAACCCUAAGAGCAACACCAACCCGCCGACCCAAACGGACUACGCUUUUACCCGCUUUUUGUUUGUUUGGGUCGGUCUGGCGGACACCCAUAUCCGCUUUCGCGUUGGGGUCGGCGCUUGCGCCCAACACUGGCCCGAUCCAUUUUUGAGCCGGCGUGAAAAAAAAAUCCUGCAAACAUUUUAAAAAAUUGAAAACGUUAAGCCACCGAUUUCAGGUUGACAACAAAUUAGUUCCGUGGGAUGAACUCAUCAGUAGUGACGCGCUACUGAAUGAGCUGGCUCACGCAUUAAGUAGGUGCGGGGGUCCUUCCAUGACCUUUGAGAUACAAAAAGAACUUCUCAGGUUGCAUUGAAGAUGGAUGAAGCAACAAUCUAAGAGUGAAAAAUACCUAAAGGUUGCAACAGAACAUACUUUUUUCUUGACUGCCGACUGCGAGGAUGAAGACGAUAUCUUCAUGCCGAGCACCAAGGCCAAGAGUACCGCACCGUCGAAGGGCAAGAGUUCUACAUCGUCGAAGCGCAAGAGUUCAUCAUCGUCGAAGGGCAAGAGUUCUGCAUCCACGGAGGAUGACGAUGAUGACUUCAUGUCGUUUUUAUGGUGUAUGUUUUAAGUUCAGUCCUACCGUUUAAUUCAGAUGUAGUUGUAUCCAGUUGUUUGUACUGUCUUAUUGUAGGAGGAGUAUGUUAUAUAUAUCUAAAUAUGAUGUUGUAGUUGGCACACAACAUUGGAUAACAGAGUACUAAAAUAGAGUAGGCAUAUGUCUCAUGGUGGAAAUAUGCCCUAGAGGCAAUAAUAAAGUGGUUAUUAUUAUAUUUCCUUGUUCAUGAUAAUCGUUUAUUAUCCAUGCUUUAAUUGUAUUGACAGGAAACUCAAAUACAUAUGUGAAUACAUAGACAACAUGUCCCCCGUGAGUCUCUACCGGACUAGCUCGUUGAUCAAAGAUGGCCAUGGUUUCGCUAGUCAUAGACAUGAGUUGACAUUUGAUAACGGGAUCACAUCAUUAGGAGAAUGAUGUGAUGGACAAGACCCAAACUAUAAAGCAUAUGAUCGUAUCAAGUUUAUUGCUAUCGCUUUCUGCAUGUCAAGUAUCUGUUCGUAUGACCAUGAGAUCAUGCAACUCAUUGACACCGGAGGAGUACCUUGUGUGUAUCAAACGUCGCAACGUAACUGAGUGACUAUAAAGAUGCUCUACAGGUAUCUCCGAGGGUGUCUGUUGAGAUUUAAGAUACAACGGCGGCCCGGAACCUCGAGCCAGCUCUGGUGGCCGCUUAGCCGCAUCCAGGAUCGGAACGCCAUCAACACCCUCAUCUCCGACCUUCGAGCGAUGGCCUUCCGCGUGGCGCCACCACUUCCGCCGCCUCCCCCAUAGCCAGACUAGUCGUCCAAAUUUCUCCGGUGUGCCGGUGUGUCCUCAGCAUUAACCUUGGUACCUUAUGUUGUGUUUGUGUGUGCGUGUGUGGACCUCCACGUCUUGGGCGUGUUGUGAAUGAACUCGUGUGCUUGUUUGUGGCUUGGGCGGUUUGCUAUAUAUAUAAAGCGAGACGAAAGCCUUUCUCAGUAAAUUACGAGAUGAGACAGACUGUGUUGUUGGAAUUUGUAUACAGCCAAAACUGCAACAACAUCUACAGUAGUGCGCAAAGCUUGACUGUCGAUGUGUCUAACUGAAAGAAAAAAGGGCAUGAACGAGGUGAUGAAGGACGUCUCCAGAAGGGAUUGCAGUGGUUGAAGCUUGUUCAGUUUCGUCGGACUUGAAUAUCUACUCUGAAAAUGAACCACCAUAUCUGCAUCCCUCUUAUGGGCGCAAAAUGAGAUUGUGUGAACGAUAACUACAACUCGACUCAAGGACGACCAUUAAUGUACGUAUUUCCCAACACACCCUGAACUUGCUUUUACAGAUUACAAAAAUUCCUCCGCUAACCUCAUUAACUCAACUUGUAAUAAUGUACUCAGUAUUUCCCAACUCCUGAAUCGCUGUAAUGAGUACCACUACAUCCAAGUGUAAUAUCAGGACCAGUCACGCAAACGUGCCUGCUAGUUUACUCAGGUAACUGAAAUUAUCAGGGAACUCUGUGAACCAUCCCCAUUUGCUUGCAUCUGCUACACUUUACCCUACUGCGGAUCUCUUGUCCAGCAAUACCACAGCAUUUUCUAGGAAAGCAGUUACCCACAACAACUGUGGUACAGGAGGCCUUUCAUGCAAGGCUUCCUAUACACUCACUUCCCUUCGGGGAACGUAAGUAAAACACUGACCUUGUACAGCUAGGAAUCAGUAAGUUUGUGGAGGACUGAAUGACUAUAAAUUACACUUGCCCAGAUUCUUCAUAGCAAAGGAUGCAUUCCAAAGCUUGCCACAUUGUGUGACAAUUCAGUAUUCGACUAGGACAGUCUGUGCAGCUUCUACUCGCUUAAUUCGCUGCUACUCAAUGUAAAAUAUUUGGGCACCAUGCCUGUUCUAAUGAGUUCUUAUGCAACCGAUACAGAGGAGCUAACUGCAGUUCCCUCCACAUUUUCUCAUCCGGGCUUGGGACCGGCAAAGGCAGUGUUAAACUACUCCUACUUAAACACAAAAAACAGCAAAAACUGCAAACAAUUAUAUUCAGCUAAGCAUACAAGCCACGUAAUCAACCAAAGGCAGCAUUGACACCACACACGAUUGGCAAUAAAUAUUCACGCAGCAUUUUCGGAAGAUCAUCACAGACAUGGGGCGCAAACAAAGAAUGCCAUAAAUUCCAGAACCUGAAUGGGAGUAACUAAUUUAUCUAGUGGGAUGAGCGUGAUUCAAGUCUUUGCACAGAGAAAGCUUUCGAAGUUUUAGCCAUUAUAGGGUAAAAUCUAUAUAUAGGAUUUAUUAUGUACUCCCUUCGUUCCAAAAUAGAUGACCCAACUUUAUACUUAAGUUAGUAUAAAGUUAAGUCGUCUAUUUUGGAACGGAGGGAGUAGUAUGAAACAGAAUGGUUUUGUCCAAGUUUCAAGUUAAGAAUAUGCAAUCGGCAGGAAUCAUCAAAUUAGUACUUCUGCUAGCUGCCAACUAUAUUAAAACCAGGAAGGUGCAAGAAACCUAAGAAUAUGUAAUUGAAGAGAAUAUGUGGUUCAAGAUUCAGAAUCCAGAUCAAAUUAGCAGUUCACCGGCAAAGAAGGUCAAUUAGCCAUUAGAGGAUGUGUGAACGCUUCAAGAAUAUGUAAUUGAAGAUUCCAUAAUAAUCCAUAUCAAAUUAGCAGUUUGACGGUAAAGAAGGUCAAAUUAUCCAUUAGAGGACCAUAAGAUGUGUGAAGGCUAUGAAAUUGUAUAUUUAAUAAAAAUAUGUAAUGGAAGAUUCCAUAAUCCAGAUCAAAUUAGCAGUUUGCUGUAAAGAGAUCAAAUUAGCCAUUGGAGGACCGUAGAGAUGUGUGAGCGCUUUGUGACUUUAAAUCCAGGAUGAAGUACAAAACAAACUGCCAUAUGUUGAAAGUAAUCAGCAGGAUUCAUCAUCAAAUUAGCCAGUGUGUUCAGGAAUCAUCAAAUUAGCCAGACUGUUCUGCUAGUUGUCAAUUUAACCAAACCGAGAAGAUGCAUUGAAGAAUCCAGAUCUCACUGGAGAAGCACCAAUGAGAAGAACAUCACUUCUGAAAAUCAACUCCAUACCAACAAAGCAGAAUCAUAUUCAGUGAACAUGUUCAUGGCAAAAAAUUUGUUCAAGCUUCCAAGCUCAGAAACUUCUAUCCAUUUUUUCACUCCUAACCUCUAUCUGCAUAUCAAGGCAUCAAUAUUACCCAACUACAGGAGGCCAACCAACACAAGUGCGAGCGUGGGAUCUUUCUUUAUCACCAAAGUAAAAAAUAUGAGCAGACCAAAAUUUGAUUUUGUGUCAUAAGAUGAACCUAAAGAUAUACAAUUAUAUACAUAAACAAACCAAGUGCAAUCAUGGACAACAGUAUGUAGAAUAGUAGACAGACAAAUCCAAGUAUGACUAUAUAUAUAUAUAUAUUGGGUGAUAAAUUUGCAAGUUAAAAGAUACAAGCAGGUAAGUUAUAGUCAAAUCAAACUUUGAUAAUCUGCUAUACAAACUGAGUACGAACUGAUAUUUCCAUUUCGGACCCUUGUUUGAGACUUCUAGCAUUUUCUUGAUUCGAGCAGAAGAUGAAAUCAUAUUCCAUCCAAACCACAUGCAAGUUGAAGAAGAUACUGUAACCAGUAAGAUGGCAGAACAGAAACCAAGUAAGAUGCUUCAGGACAGUUGAAAGAAUCAGAUGUGCACACUACCAACUCCAAGCUGCACCAAAGAUAUGAGGCCACUGAAUGCAAAUUCAAACUGAAAACUACCACAAAGACCAUAUCAUUAUGCUUCAGGAUCACUAAUCAGAAGUCAAAACCAUCAGGGAAGCCCAUUUGCUUUCACCAAGUCCCAGCGCUGACUGACUACCCAACUCUACAAUCUUGCAAUAAAACCUCCAAUAAUGCAAAUCAAUGAACGGCCCAAAUAUGACAGGCAUACUUAUAGUUUCUUCAAGGAAAAUCAGACCAUAAUGAAAUCUGGGAAAUCAGUUGAAACAAGCAUGGAGUCCAGGUUUAAGUUUUUGUGGUCGAGGAAGACUCCUCCAUCCAGAACGAAGCUCCCAAACAGCCAUCAGACAAACAUAAACCAGGAACUUAAGGUAGAGCCACUCAAAUCUGACGUCACCAAGCACAGAUGAGGAAUCCAGUAAAUCAAUGUGACCAAACAUGGGAAACUGACCUGCCUCAAGUACCCUUCACCAUACGUUCACACACCAUAUGGAGCUUCAUUUCUAGACCAGAUCGAGAUCCAGUCCUGCAAGCUAAAUUGUAGAGGAGGCCAUAACAAAUUAAACAAACAGACCGUCUACAAGAACCUGACCUGACUCCAUGUACAGAGCAAAGGUUUGGGCCCAAACUCCUAACUAUUAUAUCUUGCCAACCGACACUCGCAGAAGACCAAGAGAGCACAGGGAUCAAGUGUAACAACCAUGGAGAGCUAGUCAUUGCCCACAUGGCCUGGGCUAAAGAACAAUCUGCAACCAUAGGAAGGGCAGGGGCAAAAACCUAUAUCAAAGAGAUGGCCAAGUAACUAAUAAAUGAAAUAAAGAAAAUAGGAAGGUAAGAGUCUUUUUCGGUUGUAGGAUGUGCCAUUAGUUGAAAGCUCUGGAUUAUCCUUAUAUUUGUGUUGCAUAUGAAUCUGUAUUUAAAAUAUUGUCUUAUAAGAUAAUUUAUAGGUUAUAUAAGUUAAAAGAAUUGAAACGAUACUAGUAGAUUUAGAAGAUCAGUAGAUGGAUUCACCGGGUUGGAAAGGAGUUCUUCAACUACAACCUGCAGCGAGCAAGAGGCCUUCUCUAUAAAUUUUUGGUUAGGAGAAAUGCUGCUUAUAAAUAGCUAAAGCAUGGAUGAACUGAUGAGUGGGAACAAGUAAAAGCCUGUCUAGGGUCAGGUAUGGAUGAUAGACAACAACAACGCCAGUUCCGAACUGCAGUUUCCUUUCCAAGUCGGUAUCUGCAAGAACUGAGAAUUACUAAGGCAAAGAAAGCCUAAGGUCUAGAGAGUUCAAUUAUAGAGUAAAAAAGGUUGAAAAGUUUUAGCCACAGAAGGAACUGCCACGACGCAAAAUAGGACCGCGUUCUAAGCCAUAUUAUUACAAUUUCUGGAGAGCCACCAACAAAUAGUUCAAAUUAGAAUUGUGGGAAACCAAAACAGAACAGUGGAGACGAAAGAGUAAAACGGAGGGAGUGAUAAUUAUCCAAACGCAAAGCAGCAAGAUGUGUCUCUCCGCUAAGCCAUAUAAUUCCAAUUUCUGGAGAACCAACACAUCCAAAUAUAUCCUGCGGCCCAGACUUCCUAAAUAUAUCCUGCAACUGAUACACGCAGAAGACCAGCACAGGGAUCAAGAGUACAAACAACAAAAAGAUCCAGAGAGAGAGAGAUAGACCGCAAACCAAAUGAUUUAACAGAUUCCGACUCACAACCAGCAUGGUUUGGGCUCAAUCUGCAACCACCAAAGGGAGGGUAGAAAGAAAAACAUAAAUUAAAGACAUAAACAAGUAGCUACAUGAAAUAAAAAAUAAGAGGUGGGUUAAAAUAGUCUUUUUCAUUGUAGGAUGUUCCAUUAGUUUGAUUCUCCUUUGUUGAGCCUUUGCAGAUCUGUAUUCAAAAUAUUUCCUGGUAAGAUAAUUUUAAAGGUUAUCUAAGUUAUGAUGACUUGAGGAAAUAGUAGAUUUAGAAGAACUGCAAACAGAUUCAACUCAGCACCAGGUUGGACUUGAGUUCAUCAACUACGACCUGCAACGAGGAAGAUACCUUUCUAUAAGUUAAGAGGAAAACUAGGCUCAGCUAAAGCAUGCAUCAAAUGCUGAGGUGAAGGGUAAGUAAGAGGUAAAGGGUAAGUAAGGCUGUCUCGGCCGCGAAGGUCAGAUAGACAACACUGGUUUCAAUUUUCGCUUCCAAGCCAGCAUCUGCAAGAGCUAAGAAUUACCAACCAAGGCAAAGAAACAAAUGUCUAGAAAGUUCAAUUAUCAAGGGAGGACAAAAGGUCAGAUAUGUUGGGCCACAGAAAGAACCGCCAUGCUGAGGAAACAUAGGAUCACCCGCUAAGCCGUAUAAUUCCAAUUUCUGGAGAACCAGCAACAAAUCUAAAUCAAAAUUGUUGGACAACUAAUUGAGCUGAGAAGAAAUUAAGCACAGAGUAAUGAUCAUCCAAACGCAGGUCAGCAAGAAGAUAGGUCACUCCCGCUAAGCCAUAUAAUCCCAAUUUCUGGACAACCAGCAACAGAUCCAAAUCAGAACUGUGGGGGGGCUAAAGUUGAAUUGUGGAGAAUGAAUUAAAUAGAGGGGUUCAUAAUCAUCCAAACACUGAUCAACAAGAAGAUAGGUUGCUCCUGCUAAACCUUAUUAAGCCCAAUUUCUGGAAAACCACAAACGAAUUCAGAACUGCCAAGGACUAAUUGUACUGCGCAAACCAAAUAAAUUGAAUUGGGAUGAAAUUCAUUAUCCAACUGCAGAUCACAAGUUUCAGGUUGGCAAGAGAUCCUAAGCUUCAUUAUCCAAUCAAUCAAAACGACAAACAGAAACCAAACCUCCACCCUAUGAUUCAUCUGUGCAGAAAUACUACACUCCUGCAUCUGCUGCAAGCAAAGGAGCACAAACACACACCAAAAGUGCGAUCAGCUGCUACAAUAAGAAUCCACCAGGACCUCUAAUCCACCUCAUAUUAGCUGAUGAUGCGUGAUGAGAACCAGAAGACCACACCAGCGAUAGCCAUUUAAAUCUGACCUGCUCAAAUCCCCUUCAACAUACAACACCAAAGGGAUCUCCACAUUCCAGAUCCAAUCCUGCAACCAAUGUGUGGAGGAACACAACUAAACCAAACAAACCGUUGAUAGAACACUGACCUGACUCACUGUACAGAGAUUUGCCCAUAAGCACAAACUUCCUAAAUAUGGCCUGCAGUCGACAGGAUAAGAGUACAGAUAACGAAUUGAAACGCAUAGAGAUAGAUUGCAAACCAAACGAUUUUAACAGAUUUCGACUCACUACCAGCACUCUCUGGGCUAAAAUAAAUCUGCAAUCACAGGGGCAGAAGCAAAAAAGCCUAAAUCAAAGGCAUGAAGAAGUAGCUACGUGAUAUAAAAAAAGAGGAGGCAAGAGUUAAAAAUGGAGGAGUCUCUUUUUUGUUUGUAGGAUUUGCCAAGUUUGAAGCUCCAUUCGUGCACCUUUGAGAUAAAUCUGAAUUCAAAAUAUUGCCUAGUGAGAAGAUCUUAAAGGUUAUCUAAGUAAUGAUGAAUUGAUUAGAAAAAACUGCAAACAGAUUCAACUCAGCAUCAGGUUGGACUUUGCAUUCGUCAAACCUGCAACGAGCACGAUACGCCUCUGUAAAUUAUUGGAAAACUAGAAUCAACUAAAGUAUGCUUCAAACGAGGAGGUAAAAGUUGUAAGGAAGUUUGGGCUGAGAAGGUCAGGUAGACAGCACCGAUUCCAAUUAUAUCCCUUCCAAGAUGGUUUCUGCAAGAGCUGAGAAUGACAAACUAAGGCAGAGAAACUUGUCUGGUGUGUUCUAAUUAUAUUAUUGAUGAGUAAGAAAAUGUUGAGCCACAGAAGAACCGCCGUGCCGAGGGAAAACUGGGCCACCCGCUAAGCCGUGUGAUUCCAACAUCUGAAGUACCAGCAACAAAUCCAAAAUCCGAAUCAGAAUUGUGCCAACACUAACUGAACUGUGGAGAAAGGAAAUAAACAGAGAGUAAUGAUUAUCCAAACACAGGGCAUGAAAGAUGACAAGUCGCUCCCGCUAAGCCGUAUAAUCCCAAUUUCUGGACAAUCAUCAACAGAUCUAAAUCAGAACCGACUAAAACUGAGCCGUGUAGAUGAAGGAAUUAAACAGAGGGGGUAAUAUAAUAAUCAUCCAAACACAGGUCAAGAUAGGCCGCUCCACCCUAUGCCUUGUAAUCCAAUAUCUGGAGAAGCACCAACAGAUUGAAAUCAGAAUUGCCGUUGACUACUGGGGGAAAACAAGAAACUAAACUGGGAGGGAUUUAAUUAUUAUCCAAACUCAGAUCACCGGCUCCAGGUUGGUAAGAGGUCGAAAGCAUCAUCACCCGAGAAGAUUUGACCAUAUCAGAAUAACCGCUGAACCGUAACCAGUCAAUCAAAAUAACGAUGUACAGAAAUCAAACUUCACAUAUCAGAACUCGUUAUAUGCAAGAAUCCACGAGGGCCUCGAAUUAAUCCACCUCGUUCUAACGGAUGAUUAAAUCUGAAAUCACGGGCGAACGCAGGUGACAGGAACCAAGCAACCGAUCUGAGCGAGCACGUACGGGAAACUGACCUUGCCUCGGCCUCCAGCUCCACAAUUUAGAGCUCCAAUUCCGAAAACCAGGCUCGACGAUCCUGCAACCAACGCGCGCGGAUGCGAAUACGAAUACGAGGAACACAGGAUCCGCAGUUGCAAACAGAAGCGGACACACAAAACAGAUUCAGAGAUAGAAUCGCAAACCAAACGGAGGCCACAAGUGGAUGAAUCCCCCGAUCGAUCGCUUCCCGAGCUCGCACGGAGGCGGAGGACACGGGCCGGAUUCGAAUGCCCUGCGAGCACAGCAAGGCAACGGCGACGACGAGUGAAUGAACUCAAAUCAGACGCGAUUCGAAGCGAGGGACGAGAGAAAGGAAGGGGAAACAGUCGCGCAAACGCGAGGAGGCGAGAGCGGGGGCGCGGCCCGUCACGAACGAGAAAGGUCGGAGGAGGGACGGGACCGGAGCGCGGGGAGGAGAGGGCGCACCUGGGCGCGUUUUAUAGCCGCCGCGGAGGCGGUGGGGGAGGGGGAGGCGGC
rnacentral:lncRNA from 1 species